rnacentral:lncRNA from 1 species
CCUAAUUUGCACAUUUUAAGUUCUCUCUCAAGUUUAGACAUAACUGUUAUAAUUUAAAGCUUGCUCUAGACCUAAACUUGUGGGAUGAAAACUUGAUCUGAAAUCUAAGUUGUUAACGGAUACGAUAUGGGAAGGUUGAGCUGCUGUUUAUCUGUUUCUAGAGAUGCUAGAAUUCUGGAGAAUUUUAUCUUUGGAAAUCUUUAAAAUGUUGCAUGAUGAGUUCCUGUAUGAUGAGAGUUUAAAUUCCUACCACAGCCAUAUAUACAUGCUUGCUAGACUUCGAGCCACACAUUUACUUUUUACUGCUUAUGAGCAUUGAGUGUGGUCAAGCUGUGUAGACCCUUAGGAGCUUGUCAUGUGGUUAAAUCAAGAUUCACUUGCACGUUCACUCACACAUGCUACUUCUACUCCGGAAGUACCAUCCACAUAUAUCCAUACAUUUCCAUCUUCAGAAUCACCCAAAAAUAUUCUACUCCUAAUCCGGGAGAGAAUAGCCAAAAAUAAUUUUGUUCUUCCUUGUGUAAUAAAUGCCUCAAGAUCAAUAAAGAGUAUUAUUAUUAUGUCUUGUGUGUCUCUACUUUAUUUUUGUGCAAGAAAGCAGAAAACAAGUAUGGGGGAGAUCCCUCGACAUGCUAAACACACUCCUACUACACCACUCCACGAUUCAGGUACACACUCUGCACACUUUACUCUACACAUAUAUAUAUUUUAGAUUAUGCAGAAUAUUGUUCCCGACAUGAUAAAAUAAAAAGAUUAAAAUAUUUCUAAUCAUGAUUAAUCUCAAUCUGUGAUAUUUCCUGAAAACUUGCAAUUAGUAUAAAAUCAUUUUUUAAAACCCUGUGUUACUUAAGUCAAGAUGGAAUAUGUGAUGGUAGAGUAUGAGUUUCUUAUUCUUGAUAUCAUUGUUGCUUGGAGAAUUUAUUUCAAAAUGUUCAAAUUCCUAGCUACCAUCCUCAGUGUUUUAUAUGCCUGAUAAAACUGAAAUAUUAAAUAUGAUUAUAAAAGCUAUCUGCUCUGUAUUGAGUUUGUUCAAAAUGAGUUAGACCCUUGUUGAGAGAUUUAUCAUGCUCCUAAGAUCAAGACAUUAUUUCACUAAGAUUCACUCUUCCGAAGUAUUAUUGCAUUAGAGGCAUGGGCUAUGCAAAAAUAGAAGAUAUUUCGAGGAAAUAAAAAGGAGCAAGUGCUCGACAACCUCGCAGAAAAAAUGGACAAGUGUCCGGAAGUAGAAUUAGGGGUACCUCGGUAUCCACUUAAAAAAAAAGAAAAAGAAAAAAAAAAGACAGCCCAUGGUCCCUCUAAUAAGCAAUAUGCCAGCAAGAGUUGACAAAGUUUUUAAUUUCCAAAGUCUUUGAUCUAAGAGUAUGACAUUUCCCUCCUCGGAUCCCGUUUUGAUCAGGCAAUAAAUGCAAAGUAAGUAUGCUUGAGAAUUCUUGCAAAAUUAAAACAACCUCAGUGAGAUAUAUAUAAAAGAUAAUGAGUGAUCCGAGAGAACCUAUGAGGAUCAAAAGGUAUGCUAACUUUCUUUCAAAAAUAUACAAAAACUCCAAGUGACAGGAUUGAGAAGAAAGGAUCUUUACUCUUAAUCAUAUACAUCCCUGACUAUGGUACACAGUGGAAUUUUAACACCCUGCAAUUAUAAAGAGAAUGUUUUAAAUGUUUACCCCAGAUAUUUUUCUUAACCAUCCUUUUCUCGAGGACGAGUAAAAGCCUAAGUAUGGGUGUAUUUGUUGACGGUUAUUAAGUAUCAAUUUUAAUUAUCAAAUAAACAAGAGAAAGGACCAAUAUGCAACCAUCACCUAGAAUUAGGGUUUGAUCUGACAGAAUUCCACGAGUUUUGUUGUUUAUCUGUUUCUGCAGGGGGUUAUCAGGAAAUAAGGAAGAAAGGCCCACAUGUCGGGAUUACAUAGAGAUAUCAACGCACCGCGUAAUUUUACAUCAUCUAGAAGACUCCAGAAGCCACGAGACCGAAGCGGAGGCGAAGCUGGGCCAGGCCCAGGGCGCCCGCCCUUGUAGCCUGGGCGCCCGCCCCCCUGCUGGAGUCAAUUCAGGACUCCUUCGCUCGGGAUAUUCCACCGACCUAUUGGAUCAAGAAAAACAUAGUACCACCUCGGCUAUCGACCCAAAAAUGCAUAGAAGGGGAGGACUAUAUAAGCGAGGCUCCCCUGGCCCCUGGAAGACAUGAAGAAAUUAUCAUAGAGACUGAGGGGUGCCCUCGAAGGAAAACCUCUUCUCUAUUUAAUAUUUCUUUUUAGGCUUAGCAAUGAAUGUAAGGUAGAAAUAGAUCUUCUAGUUUCUACUAGAUUGAGAGAGAUAGAGUGGAGGUGUAGAGUGGAGGAAGCCCGGCCUGUCGGUGUCUACUCCAAGCUUGUACCUGCGGGAUCAAGUUCUCCUAACCCGAAGCUUGAUCCUAGGAUUCUUCAGUAAUUCGACUUCUAAAUUCUAGUAAGUUCUUGUUUUAUUGUUCUUAUGGUUUAUGAGUUUACUUUAAUCUCUUCGCGUAGAGUUUAGAGUAAUCAUUGCUGGCGUAAACGUGGUGUUUAGGCUGGGGUACUCAUAGAUAUUCCCUGACUAGCUGGACCGUGGUAGUAGUGAGGAACGUGACAUUUCCGAGCUACCUUUGUAGAUCACAUCUCGUUAGCAGGAAGGAUAGGGUUUAUAGGUGCGGGUUGAACAUCCUUUGUGGUGUCUAGAUUCCGUUAGCCUCCCCAUUGGAACAGUAGAUCAUCCUUACCAAGGUUAGAAGGAGACUACGGUUGUAGUCUUCUCUAUUUAUCACUCACAUCGAAAGACAUUCUUUGUGCCUAAAGGGAUAAUAGCAAUAGAUUUGGUUAGUCAGAUGCACCCUUUCUCCCAGUGGUAAAAAUAUAAAUACGAUACUCUGGAAAACCUCCCGGGUGAAAUGCUCACCGAUAUCCGUGCGCUUGCGGAUCAUUUCCUUAUUGUGUUACCAAAUAUCAACAACGCUACAAAUCAUAUUUUGGUGACCAAAGCCAAUUUUGAGUGGAGCAUGGUGAAUUUGUCAAAACAGUUUGCAAUUCAAAUCCCAAUUCAGGGAAAUUCAAAUUUUUGAAUUGGGGCAAAUCAGAAUUUCCAAAAUUACUUUUGAUUUUUCCAAACAACUUGAAAAACUCCCAACAUGAAAGUUCUUAAACUUUUUGAGCUCUACAACUUUCAUGUUGGCACUUUUCAAAAUUCCAAAUAGAUUUUGAAUUGGAGGUUCAAAUUGGAAAAGGGGACACUUUCUGGAAAUCUGCAUUUUCAAAAUUACUUUAAAUUUUAUAUUGAAGCUUCAAAAACUCAAAACACUAAAGUUGUACAUCUUGACAAGAUCUACAACUUUGCUUUUGAACUCAACCUCAAAUUUUGGUUGGUUUUUGAAUUGCACAAAAGGGGGCAGUUCUAGGGUUCAAAAAUCAGGGUUUCCCCCCUAAUCUCUCGGAAAUCUUUCACCCGAGGGUUUGAACAACCAACACAAGCAUCAAUACACAAUAUAAACACACUUUAAUUCCCUAAGCACAUUCCACCAAAUUAAACUUAUUUUAAGUUAAUGCAUCAGGGGGUGCUUAACAAAUAUGCUGUGCAAUGCUGAUGAUGUCAUGCAUAACAUUUUUAGUACCGUAACAUCGGGGAUGUUACAAUAUAUUUGCAUGGAGUCCCUCGGACAUGCCUGGCAUACCGAGGGAGGUCGCCAAGCACUCCUUGGAAAUUCGAGCCGGUUCCAAGCCAGUGAAGCAGCGGUUGCGCCGAUUCGACGAGGAGAAGCGCAAGAUCAUUGGCGAAGAGAUCCAAAAGCUUUUGACGGCCGGAUUCAUCAAGGAGGUUCACCAUCCCGACUGGUUAGCAAAUCCUGUACUAGUUAAGAAAAAGAAUGGGAAAAUGAGGAUGUGUGUUGAUUAUACAAGUUUAAAUAAAGCAUGUCCGAAAGUUCCUUUUCCAUUAACUCGUAUCGAUCAAAUUGUCGAUUCAACUGCGGGAUGUGAAACCCUUUCAUUCCUUGAUGCAUAUUCUGGUUACCAUCAAAUAAAAAUGAAAGAGUCCGACCAGCUUGCGACAUCUUUCAUUACACCUUUUGGGAUGUAUUGUUAUGUGACCAUGCCGUUCGGGCUUUGAAACGCGGGAGCCACAUAUCAGCGCUGCAUGCUCCACGUGUUUGGCAAGCACAUAGUGUCGACAGUCGAGGCCUAUGUCGACGACAUCGUCGUCAAGUCGAAGCGGCAGGGAGACCUGAUCCAGGACCUCGAAAUCGCUUUCAGCUGUUUACGCGCCAACCAGAUCAAGCUCAACCCCGAGAAGUGCGUUUUUGGCAUACCUCGAGGCAUGCUCCUGGGUUACAUCGUUUCCCAACGUGGCAUCGAGGCCAACCUCGAGAAAGUCUCGGCCAUCACAAGAAUGGGGCCGAUCCGAGACAUCAAGGGCGUACAAAGGGUAACGGGAUGCCUAGCGGCGCUGAGUCGUUUUAUCUCGAGGUUGGGAGAAAAGGCGUUGCCCCUGUACCGACUUCUGAAGAGAGUCGAGCGCUUCUCUUGAACCCCCGAGGCCGAGGAAGCCCUCGAAAACCUGAAGAAAACAUUGACCUCAGCACCAGUCCUGGUCCCACCUCAACCUGCAGAACCGCUGCUCCUUUAUGUUGCCUCGACAACCCAGGUCAUCAGUGCACCUGUGGUGGUCGAGAGGCAGGAGGAGGGGCAUGCAUUGCCUGUCCAGAGGCUGGUCUAUUUCGUCAGCGAGGUACUCUCGGAGACCAAAGCGCGUUACCCACAGAUCCAGAAGCUGAUCUACACCGUAAUCCUCGCCCGACGCAAGCUGCAGCACUACUUUCUCGGCCAUCCUAUCACAGUGGUCUCAUCCUUCCCCUUGGGAGAGAUCAUCCAAAGUCGAGAAGCCACGGUAAGAAUCGCCAAAUGGUCGGUCGAGCUCAUGAGUGAGACUCUCACUUAUGCGCCCCGUAAGGCUAUCAAGUCGCAAGCCCUUGUGGAUUUCGUCGCGGAAUGGACAGACUCCUAGCUCCCCCUGGCCCAGGUUCAGGCGGAGCUGUGGACGAUGUACUUCGACGGGUCUCUCAUGAAGACAGGAGCUGGGGCGGGCCUGCUAUUCAUUUCGCCGCUGGGCGUCCAUAUGAGGUACGUCGUCAGGAUACACUUUGCCGCAAACAACAAUGUUGCAGAGUACGAGGCCCUUGUCAUUGGUCUGAAUAUCGCCAUCGAGCUGGGAGUCCGACGCCUCGAUGUUCGAGGCGACUCCCAGCUCGUCAUCGACCAUGUAAUGAAAGCCUCGAACUGUCACGACCCAAAAAUGGAAGCAUACUAUAAGGAGGUCCGUCGACUCGAGGACAAGUUCCACGGCCUCGAGCUCGUCCACGUCGCCCGACGCUACAACAAGGCAGCCGACGAACUCGCCAGGAUCGCGUCGACCCGAGGCACGGUCCCUCCUGACGCGUUUUUAAGAGAUCUACACAAGCCAUCCUUCGACCUGGGCUCGGGGGCUGACAUCGAGACCGCUCCUGCCCAGCAAACCAACACCGUCGAGGCACUACUAAUGGCGGCUGAGGUAAUGGAAGUGCGGCCCGGUCGACCGUUCGAUUGGCGCACGCCGUUCCUCGACUGCCUGAUCCACUGCGAGCUGCCAGAAGAUCGAUCUGAGGCCCGCCGUAUUGCUCGGCGGGCCAAGUCAUAUGUAAUCUAUGGCGAUGACAAGGAGCUAUAUCGACGAAGCCCGACAGGGGUCUUGCAGCGUUGCGUCACCAUAGAGGAGGACCGGAAACUCCUCGAGGAUCUACACUCGGGGGCUUGUGGGCACCAUGCUGCUCCACGGACCCUCGUAGGGAACGCCUUCCGACAAGGCUUCUACUGGCCAACGGCCGUAGCUGACGCCAUCGAGCUCGUACGCUCAUGCCAUGGAUGCCAAUUCUACGCCAAGCAGACGCACCUGCCUGCCCACGCUCUCCAGAUGAUCCCGAUCACUUGGCCGUUCGCGGUAUGGGGGCUCGACAUAGUAGGGCCUCUACAAAAGGCAAAAGGGGGGUACAGUCACUUGCUGGUGGCCAUCGACAAGUUCUCCAAAUGGAUUGAGGCUCGACCCAUAACCAACAUCCGUUCAGAGCAAGCCGUCCUUUUCUUCACCGACAUCAUCCACCGGUUUGGGAUUCCCAACGUCAUCAUCACCGACAACAACACUCAGUUCACCGGCAAAAAGUCCCUGGCCUUCUGCGAUCAGCAUCACAUCCGUGUGAACUGGUCUGCAGUUGCCCACCCUCGAACUAACGGCCAGGUCGAGCGUGCCAACGGCAUGAUCUUGCAGGGGCUCAAACCGAGAAUCUAUAAUCGCUUGAAGAAAUUCGGCAAGAAAUGGGUUGAGGAGCUUUCCUCAGUCCUGUGGUGCUUAAGGACUACGCCAAGCAGGGCCACAAAAUACACCCCAUUUUUCAUGGUCUAUGGCUCUGAGGCCGUGCUCCCGAUGGAUCUUGAGUAUGGGUCCCCUCGACUCAAAGCAUACAACGAGCAAUCAAAUAAGGAGACUCAAGAGAAUGCGGUCGACCAGAUCGAGGAAGCUCGAGACAUGGCCCUCCUCAACUCCGCCAGGUACCAGCAGAAGCUCCGACGCUACCACGACAAGCACGUGCGCAAGAGGGACCUGAACGUGGGCGACCUCGUCCUACGACAGCGGCAAAGUAAUCAAGGACGCCACAAGCUGACUCCACCUUGGGAAGGCCCAUAUGUGGUGGCUGAGGUCUUGAAACCGGGAACAUACAAGCUCGCAAAUGAAAAGGGAGCGAUCUUCACCAACGUGUGGAACAUCGAACAGCUACGUCGAUUCUACCCCUAGAAUUUCAAAGCUUUAUGUUCCCACGUACAUUCUGUACCGAGGUUUUGUAAAUGAAUGCAUGAAUAAAUAAAGUCUUUCCCUCGAGCAAUUUACUUUUUCACGAGUCAAAAUCUCAACGUUUAGAAGGGGGUACCAACUAUGACCUAUCAUAGUCGAUACCCCCUCGGGGGCUAGCAGGAGGGCGACCCCCCCAGGUGUCGAAAAAACCAAGUAACCCUUUCGUUCCCUUCAGUAAUCUCGUGUGGUUGAGUAGUAAAGGUACCUCGAACCCCUUAAGGGCCGAGAAACGACGAGCCUGAGAUCUCCUACGCCCCCGGGCUACGGAAACUCUAAUUGCCUCCUCACUCUUAAGGCAAUCGAGACCGCCUUAAACAAAAGACCGAGCGGGAAAAAACAAACAUAGGCGCAAGAAGAAGUAAAGGAGCCUCAAGCGGAAAGACAGAUAAACAUUUGACAACCACUUAAAAGGCAUCAUACUACUUAAAGAUAGAGUAGCAAAGUACUGUACAAAGGGGCCUAGGCACCUAGAGCAGGCUCGCAGGCCUCAGUCCGCAUCACGGUCCUCACCGCCCUCGCCUGUGCCCGAGCUAGUCUCAGGAGGCAGUACCUCUGGCUCGAACAGCCUAGCCAACCUCUCUCCAGGAACCUCUGCGUCGUCCAUCAAGGCGUGGAGCCUCUCUUCGUUCUCCGCGUCGGUCUUGGAGAUGUCGGUGACGAAGCCAUGGGACACCACCUCCAUGUCGUAGGAGAAUCCUGAACAGACAACGGCCAUUGCCCGCUUCACCCUGAUGUGGAGAGUGUCCCGCACCCAAUCCCUCAGCGUCGUGCCUAAGUAGCACAGCUGAUGGACCAGCGCGUCGCCUCGAGCUUCCUUCUUCGACUCGUCCACGGGCUCGACCUCCCAAGAGGUCGAGAGAUCGCUUAUCACCGUCCGAAGUCGACGGUUCAAAGCAACCUCCCCCUCGAGCUGGGCUUUGGCAUUGAGAGCCUCGACUUGGGCGGCCAAGAGCUCUUCUUUAAGCCCUGUGAAUGCCAACGCAAAAAGCUUUAGAUAAAACCAAGCACAUCUCGAAAAGAAAACCCGACAUUAGAAACGUACCGCGGACACUCUCCUCCAGAGCUGUGUUCUCGCCAACUAAUUUGGUGUUGGAGCGUGCCAGCUCAGUGUUGGCAACACGUAGAUCUUCGAUCGCCUUGCCAGCCUGAGCAAUGGCUCCAUUCUUCUCUAGCAGCUCUCCCUUCAGACGAUCGACAUCGUCAGAGAGGCUGCGGGAUCGAGCCCGCUCCGCCUCGAGGUCUUCAAGGGCCUUUUUCUUUGCCUCCUCCGCGGCGCCCCUGGCGACCUUGCUGUCCACAUACUCCACCUUUAUCCUCCAGAAGGAUUCUCGGAUGGAGUCCAGGUCGGUCUUGAGGAGGCCCUUCUCCUUGUCCAGGUCUGUAAUAGUGCUCUUAUAGGACAGAGCCUCCUCCCGGGCUUUGGACGCGGCCUCCUCGACCAUCAGAGCCCGCUCCCUCAGUAGCACGGCCUCUUCCACAACCUUCUUUGAGGCCUCUCAAGCCUCGGCCAGGGCAGCCUCCCUCUCCUUCGUCUCCUCCUCGAGUGCCAAGAGCUCUUUAUAAGCUUUGAGGAGUUUCUCCUGCGACUCCAGGAGUUGGUCUUUGAGGAGGGGGAGCUGCUCCCAGCCACCUCUCGUGGCAUGAAUGAAGCUUGACUUAAUACGGGAGGUCUCUUUCAGGUCCUAUGAGCCGAUGAUUGAGUAGUUAGAACCCAAAACCAACGAGUUCCCUAAAGAUUAAAAGACUAGGAGACUUACAAAGUAGGUCUGCCCGAGCCCGUUGUUUACAACGUCCAACAAGAGCCCCACCGUGUGCUUCAUCCAAAGGCGGAGCUCCAUGACGUGCUCCCACUUCUCGGCUUCCUUCCGAUCGUCCAGAAAAAUGUUGGGCUUGGACGGAUCCGUGGAAGCACGGAUGCAGAUCCGAUCAGGGCACCAGUUCUCCAUCUCCUGGUCGGCCCGCGCCUUGACGCCGCGGAUGAGCUCCUCGACGGUCUCGAGGGACCCCCCAUGGCGCAGGAACAAGUUGACGAGGGAGGGGAACCGCCCGUCAUCAUCCAUCGUCUUCUAGGUGCCCGUUUCGCUGCCUCCACCUCCGCCCGACGUCACAGCCUCGUCCUCCUCGGUGGGAAUACGGUCCUCCCACGACUGACGCUCCAGGAGGAAUCCCGGGGUGAUCCCAUCCAUGCCAUAGAUUGUCCUCCUGAUCUCAGAAUCAGGGUCGGCGGGAGUGCGCCUCAUGCAGGCGAGCGCCACCACGCCGUCCGCCCGCCCUGACUCUACAGGGAUCGCGGCCGGUGCCCCCGGCCGGAGCCACGCCGGGGUCGGAGGUCCAAAAGCCGGCAGGCCCUCCUCAUGGUUUCCAGGCUCCUGCAGCAUAUCCAGCUCCAGGUGGGGCGGAUCAAGCGGCUCCGCCGGCUCCUAGCCCCCCUUCUGAUGUUGCUCUUGGAGCUCUUGCGGCUCCGGUCAACGUUCCUGCUCCUGCAGUUGUCGCUGCAUCUCUUGCUCCCGCUCCUCCUCCUCCUUCUUCCUCUACUCCUCGAUGGAGCAAAGACUGGCAGGCCAGGGCGUCCGUCCCGUGACAAGAGAGGUCGAGGCCUCCUUGUCCAUAGGACGGGCAUCCCUCGAGGUCCCGUCGCCGCCAGACCCAUCACUUAAGGUAAUGGGAUCCCCCUCGACCCCCGAUCGGGGAGGCUCGGGGGCUCCCUCUUGCCCUUGGGGCUGAGGUGCCCCGGCCUGUUUUGGCGGCGAUGGGGUAGACUCAGGACGGGGUGGGGUGCUCUCAGCGCCGGUCGGUGGUUGAGGGUCGGAGGAACCUAUAGAACGCAAAACAAAGGUCAGUCACUAUGAUGGCCGACGUAAGAGCAACAUAAAUCCCAUGCAUAAGCUGCUAACCUGAGUCCUUGGAGGCCGCUCCUACCUUGAGCCUUUUCGCCAUCGAGGGCUGGGCCUGCUCAAGCGUCCACUUCAACCUGAGAAGGGAAGCACGGGCGUGAAGAAGAUCGUUAUACAAAAAAACGCAAAGAAUCAGGAGAAUAAGAAUAACAGCGUCGAAGAACUUACCCCCAGGGAGAACGGCUCGCCUAUCGGUGCCUCGACUAGAGGGCCUCAAGCCACCCCGCGUCAAGGCCCCCGACCCCUCGAGGGCAGGCGCUGGUCUUGGCCCGACAUCUCCCGACUGGCGAGCGCCCGGACUGGCGCUCCUGCGGCCGGAGUCCCCCUUGUCGGAGGCCGCGGCGCGGCCACAGGUCAACCGCCCCGUCGCUUGGGGCUUAGCCCGGCUACCCGCCUUGAUGCAGGGGGAGGUUGAGGAUGCGGGGCGGCCUGAUUUGGCGCAGGCGCAGGAGGAGUGUCAGCGCGGGGACGGUGAGAUCCGCCUGGCCCCUCCUUCGGUGCCCCCGUCCGUAGGACGUCGACAUCGCCUCGAGGCGGAUCCUCGAGGAUCCGAUCGAGACGAGACGCCAUCCCCUCAGAAUCGUCGCUGUCGUCAUCGCCGUCUCCGCCAUCGUCUUCGCUGGGGGAUUCUUCCUCAGGCUCCCCCCCUCUGCCUGGACUUAGCUCGACGCGCCUCUAGUGCUUGGCGGUCGAGGUUCUUCUUCUUCCCUCCUUUCUUCACAAAGUCCUUGAUGGACUUUUGUUUCUCGGCAGACUAGCGCCGUGUGUCACGGUCGACCUCGUUCUCCUUUACUGGAGGCCUCAAGGACCGGACAUUGAUUCGCCCCUGCCAGAAUGAAAGCAAGCUUAGAAAAAGGGGUCGAAGGAAAUCCAGAAUUGAAGCCAUGUACGAGAAAAGAGCAUACCAGGUCGAUCGAUCCCGCAUCGGGCCUCAUGGGGAAACCGUUAACGUGCUCCGCCUUGAAAUCGCCGGCAAUGGCCGCCCUUACCCGGGUCGCGACCUCGUCGUCCGCCAGAGCCUCGUUAGACAUCCGGCACGCCUCGAGGUCCCGGGACGAGACGCCAGGGCCCAUCUCGUCCAUCCUCAGCGGCCAAGACAUCAAUGGGAGAACUCUCCGAUGAUGAACGGCCGAGAGGACAAGAGCGGCGGUCAGGCCUUCCAUACGCAGCUUCUUCAAGGCGUCGAGGAGGGGGUCGAGCCGCAACUGGUGAGCUUGGACGACGCCGUACGUCCAGUUCUCCGGGCGCUCCGUGAUCAGGCAACUGGUGUAGGCGGGACGGAGAUCGUCGUCAUUCCUCAGGUAGAACCACUGGGAGUCCCAUCCAGCGUGGUUCGUUGACAAUCCCACCGGGAUAUACUCGCGCGGUCUCGCCGUCUUCCCCGUCUUCAGCACGAGGUCGAGGCACCUCGCCCGCACGGGCUUCCUCACGCAGAUGGUCCCAGUGGGGGUGUUGAAAAGCUCGCCCCUGUAGAGGUGGAGCCACAGCUCCCAGUGGGGCAUCAUCCCCAAAUAGCCCUCACACACCGCGGCGAAGACCGCCGCGACGGUGAUGGCAUUUGGGGAGAAGUGCUGGAGCUCCACCCCAUAAUGGUGGCAGAGCACCCGCAUGAAGCGGCUCGGGGGAGCGCCCAGGCCGUGGUGGUGGAACUUGGCGAACGAAACCACAUAGCCCUUGGGCGGCCUAGGCGCCCUGUGGUCCGCUGGCGGCGCGAUCCACUCCGACGAUGAAAGCGAUGUGCGAUGGCGCAGGAGCCCUUCCUUCUCAAGCUCCAACAAUCGACAUUCCAUCAUCGACGACGGACGCCACUCGUCGACGGCAACAAGUCUCACAGGCAUCUUGGACGCUACGAUAGCAGAUUCGCUACUGCUCGAGGGCGCGCGCGCGUGUUAGAUGGCAGGAGACCUAAGACGGCGAAAUGGCAAAGGCAAGGAAGAAGGCAGAAGGCGGAAGGGAAAGCAGCGGCGACACCGCGGGAUAUUUAUAGGCAGCAACCCACCAAUGGACAGACGGGGCACUCUGAAUUCUACGCCGGUACAGUGCCGCAACGGCUCCUGCCUGAAAACACGCGCCCAACGGGCAGAAAGGCGAACCGCCACGACUUCUCCCUUCCCUUGUAAGCCAAGGAACGCACCCACAGAAGCCUCGAGAGGUCGCAGGCUGGCCCGCCGGAAGGGUUCGACAGCCGAUCUCGAGCACCAUAGUCAGGGAUGCCCAGCGAGUGGUCAAAAACUGAGGCCCGCCUCGAGAACUCGCUGGGGAUGUCCAAGGUAAGGUCAAGACAGUCGAGAGGAAUCCCCUCGACGGGAGGCAUCGAGCCGCUGGACUCUAUCAAACGAGUCCAGUACCCCCGACCACUUCGACCCCGCUUUAUGAGAACGCCACCAGGCUAUAGCUGACCCCCUCGAAAGGGGCAUAGGUUCUCACUUGGACUACCCGUUAGGAGCUCAAUUUGGGGUGGAUGACGCUCGCUCUAUCGAGAGUACGUCGAAAACCCCGCGCAAAGCGAGCCAAUCAGAAAGCUUCCACAACUGGUGUCGACAGCGUUUCUACGAGUUAGGCAACAUAACCCUCGAAGGAGUCAAAAACUCCUCCAAGGGCUCGGGGCUACCCCCGCGGGGUCGCUCGCGCGCCUACAGAGAUUGAACUGCAAAAUAAAGCCUCCACUUGAGCGCCAGCGCUCAAAUGGAGACUCGGGGGCUAUUGUCGAGGGUAUCAAUAAGGGGUAUCCUAACUGAUACACAUGAUGAGAUUACCCGUAUGCAGGUCGAGGCCCUCAACUCGACGCUCUAGCCAGUCAUACGUACAGUCAUCGACAGUCGCAGCCUCCAAGACGGAAAGGGCGUCGAGCGAAUCGAUCAGGGCUCGAGCGCCGCAGCCGUCGAAUACGGAAGUAGGCUCGAGCGAACCAGGAGGCGUCGAGCGUAAGGACGUCGCCCACCGCCUGACGCGCGCACGGGAACCAGGGCAUUCAAUGCGCCUGUCGCAUUCUCACCUAACACGCCAGUCACGGGAAGCGUGAUAGGGAACAGGCAUCCGUCCCAUCAUUCUUUUUGCCGCCUUCCCCACCAAAUGACCCAGAGCGUGUCAGGACACGGGAAGCAGGGAUGGAACGUCUAGUCGGGACCCCCUCGAGACAUCCAGGGUCAACGCUCUGGACAGCGAAGCGCUACACGGCGGCCGACCCUCGACCAGACCAGUUUCCUUCUAGGGGAAGGGUUGGGCGUCGAAUGGUAACAAAGCAACCACUCCGACUUGUAACACCCUAGGUGUUAAGCAUGCACUUAGUCUCAUCAAAGUCAUGCAUAAGCAUUUCCAUCAAGCAUAAGCAUCAUGAGCAUGACACUCUUUUCAAAUUAUGAUUUUAUGUGCUUCAUUUCAUGUGCUUUAAUUAUGUUAAAAAUGUGAUGCUUGUUUCUAAAAAUUGUGAAAUAUUCAAAUUAGGUUGCUUUAUGUGUAAGAAGAAUUAAGAACAUUUUUGUGCAAUUUUUGGAGCUAUGGAAUUUGAGAAAUGGAAUUUAUACAAAAAUAUCCAAAAAGAAUUUAUUUAAAACCUAGAACUGAGUUUUAACUUGUAAUUCAAAUUUUGUUUGGAAUUUGGUCUUGCUUGUCAAAGCAAAGUUGUAGAGUUUUUAUUUUGGAACAACUUUGUUUUUGGGAGCAAGAGGUGAAAAUGAUUUUAAAUUGGUCCAAAUGAAUUUAGAAGGAAUUUGAGAAAAGAAAUUCAAAAAAAAAGGGAAAGGGGGCAGGCGCUGCUGGGCCGACCCGCCUCCCUUCUGGCCCAGCGGGACAGCGCGGCCCGCUCCCCCUCCCCUCUCUCUGGCGCGCGCGGCGCCCGCCUCGCUCCACCCGGCGCCGGCCACGUGGCGGCCGUACGCCGGCGUUGGACGCGCCGCGGCCGGCCUCCAACCCCCCCCUGGUCGGGACGCCGGCGCAGGCUCCCAGACCACUCCCUCCAUUCUGUCUCCCCCGCGCCCUCCUUCCUCCUCCGCUCGCACCGCGCAGCAGCAGCCGCUCCUCCGCGCGCCAUUGCCGGAGAGAGCUCCGCCGCUCGUCGCCGGCCACACCAGAGCCUCAAGCUCGACGCCGAGAGCACCAGGGCACUCGCCGUCGCUAGGGUAAGCUCGUGCGAACGUUCUACCGAGGUGAGAGUCCGUCGAGCGCCGUGAAUCGCUCGCCGGAGUUACCCCGAGCUCGCCGGAGUACUCCGCCGCGACGGAUCUAGCGUUUCCCUGCCUCUUUUCGCUCGUUCUCUGUUGCGCUAGGUCGGUAGGAAGGUGAGGAAGCUCGGAGAGGCGUUUGCGCACGCUCUACCGCGCCGGAGCAGCCUGGCCACGGCGAGCAGCGCUGCCGUGCCGCCAUGCAUGCUCGCCGGAGGUGUUCCGGCCGUCCUCUGGUCGAUCCAAGGGUACCGUUGGGUGCGUCUUGCUGCGGGGAGCACGUUGGUGCUCACCCCGUGGCCGGAGACCUCACCGCCGGCAAGAUCCGCUCGUCGGAGGUGAGCUCCCUCUCGGUCUCGCUGACUGGUGGGGUCGGGGACCCACUGUCAGUCGCAGGGGUACCCCGGUGGGUGUAGAUCUGGGUGUGCGUAGCGUUUUUCGUCGGUUUUCUUGAAAAAGUGUUUUCCAGAAAUUGAUUUAAGGUUUGUAAAAUCUAUAUCUUGAGUUCUACAGCUCCAAAUUGAAUGAAAUAAAUUUUGGUGUGCUCUAUAUUUCCAGAUCUACAGUUUGAUGUAAUUGCAUGUCAUGUUGGAGCAACUUUUCUGUGUGAAUAUAUUUUAUCCAUGAUUUUGUUAAACUUGGAAAAUGCAUAGUAAAUAAAAUAUGGCUCAGAAAAAUGUGAAACUUGAUUUGUUGGCUUUGCAUGUGUGUUUGCUCACUGGGAAAAAGUGGGUACAUAUUAUUUAGUGUAUAAAUGAAUUUAUGGUAAUUUAAAUGCUUGCAUGGUAGUACUUUAUGAUUUUUAAUAAUUAAUUGGGUCAUGCAAUAAAUCUGGAAAAUUUUGUGGGUGUUUCUUAUAAUAUUAUGCAAAUUGUAAAAAUAUGAAAUCUGUUGUUUGACACUUAUAUCACAGUAGGGUGAUUAUACUUACUUUAUUACUUAAUCUUGUGAUUUUUGUGGCUCAAAAUAAGUAACCAAAAAUUAUGAAAAAUUUUCAGUAAACUUUAUGCUUAGCUGGAAGUCUCCUGUAAUUUUUGUGGAAUUUAUUGAUGAACAGAAUUGCAUGUCAUUUUUAAUGGGCUUAGAAAUGAAUAAAGAAAACUAUGAAUGGUUGUAUAUAUAGGUUGAAUGGAAUAAGUUGGGUUUGGUGUAUCUUUGAAGCAUCAUGGAGGUUGCUGGUUGCAUUUGAAAAAUAAUUAUAGAAGAGAAUGUAAUAGAUGUUUGAUUCAAUUGUUUAUUCUUGGAUGAUGUUGACUACCUUGAAAUAAGCAUGACCAAGUGCAUUACCUAUGCAUCAUAACAUGACUCCUUUGGUACUCUCUCAUUUAAGCAUUCACUUGGGCAUCUCGCACUCUCACUCAUGAGAAUAUAUGCAUCAUACAGGCUCGCAGGAGAACGAGGUGGGAACCGAGGAACCCGAGGAGCUUCAGGAGCAGGAACCUCCGGAAGCACAGGAACCCGGAGAGGAACUGCAGGAGUGUCCGGAUCACCGACCCAGCACGUUUGAGAAAGGCAAGCCCCGGAGCAUUCUAAGUCUCCCUAUUCUCGCUAACUUAUAUAAAGUGCUAUACUUGUUCUACUAUAUUGCAUAUUAAGUGAUAGGAGUUGCCUGAUACCGUUGCUGCAUGAGUACUCCUUGUUAUUCCUACUCAUUCAACUACCUUGUCCUAUGUAGAUAGGCACGGAGUCUAUGCUUAGCUUGCUUAGUUCGGUAGAAGUCGGGUGAUCCCCUGUCACCUGCGAGAUAUAGGUGGAUACCUGCUUGAUUAAGCAUUGGUUGCUCGGGGAAAAGAAUAACCAAGUGUGGAAUGAAUUUGGAGACCGGGCAGGGUCUUAUGGUGGGUUGACCAUGGUGCCCCUGCCUGUGUCGAUUAAGGACCGAUCGUUGACGGCCCUCUUGUCAUGUUGAACGCAUGCCCCACACUUAGAUGGAAGGAUAAGUCGUUCCGACCACGAAGCCUGAACACUAUCCGGGCCGGGAAUCGAGCCGCCAUGCGCUGUAUUGGUGGUGGUUGAGGAGAACGACGAGGGCGCGGCGCGCAACCUUGGUAUACCUUGGAUACCUCGGUCGCCGGAACGGUCCUCGGGUACUGGUGGUGCCUGCCGAACCCGCGAAUUGGUCCUGGAUAGCGUAAUACGGUGAUCUGUAGCUCACUUGAUCAGUGAGUGUGGUUUGUGUGGGGAAUACCUCGCCAGCUGGUUAGAAAUCGAUUCGAAUCGCCAUCGCUCCUGGAUAGUGAGCACUUGACAUGAGCCCUGUCCUCGUAGUAAGGACUAUGGAACACUUGGGUUAUAAUGAUGAGUAGUUUUAAGAAAUGCUAUGAUGAGGUACUAUCAUAGUCUCAUACUUGCUUGUAAUAGUGCGGGUGCAAACCUAGAUAAUAGGUAAUGAUACUUUCAACUUGAGCAAAUUAAAAGAAGAAAAGAUUUAUGUAAGUUAGGGUAAUAAAACCUUGCGGUCUUUGCAAAAUGGUUGUCAGCUACCCCACUAAAUAGCCUUCAUGAUCCUUGAUGAGUCUUUAUUUUAAGUUUAUGACGGGUAAGUCUAGCUGAGUACCUUCUCGUACUCAGGGUUCUACUCCCAUGUUGUUUUGCAGAUGGUCAAAUGUACUAUGGUUAUUGCAUCCUCUGUCUGUACCCAGCUAUGGGUGAUGACUAGACCAAGGGCGAUGGUCACUUCGUCUCUUCUUUUGCUUUUGUGGGAAUGACCGAACUAUGGCACUGUAUCAGACUUAUCGCGUGUGUUGUAAUUUCAAACUAUGAAGCUUCCGCUACUUGAAGAACUUGGUUUGUAAUAACUUUAAGCACUCCGAUGUAUUUUAUGAAUGUUGUAAUCUGGAUGUACUUGUGGAUGGCGACCGCUAAACUUAUUACGAUCUUGGCUGUUAUGUGAUGUGUGGUUUGAAAUCCUUCGAGAUUUCACGGACUACCGGGAUUAUAUGGGCUUAAGCGUGAUAGUUCGACUAUGCAAAUGGUCGCUAUUAGGCUUAAUCUCUUAUAAUUUGGUCGGUUCUGUUACAUGACUGAUCCGCCGCUGUAUCGUACCGGCGUGCCACCAAUGAACCAGUCCAAGACGGCGCGCAGAGCAGGAUUCCAGGGCACGCGUAAUUAUCAUCAAGCUACCAGGACGGGACGGCUCGAGACCACACCGGUACGGAGGCCUCGAGUAGGUCAGCACGCCAUGCCUCUAUCGACCCCUACUCUGACACCUAUACUUGUACCUUGGGCUUCUCCUUGGAACUAUAAAAGGGGAAGCCCGGGAGCAGACUCAACCGGACAGCAAUCAGGCAACACCACACUCAUACGCAGUAGAACUUCAAUACUCCAUACCACGCUUGUAUUCACCCCUGUACAAGCACUUAGGUGCAAAAUAAUACAAAUUCUCUCCUCCCCGCUGGACGUAGGGCCUUCUCUUACCCGAACCAGGAUAAAUCCUUGUGUCUUUUUGCAUCACCAUCAGGGAAUGGGAAGCACGCAUACAAAUUCACUCGUUGGUGUGACCCCCCGUGGGGAAAACACCGACAAGAAUUUUCUAUAUGUCUUAGCUCUCCUUCACUUGAUAUGUCAUCCUUGGCUUCUUCAUAACAGGAACCAGGACAUUCUCUAGGAGAACCAUCAUUGCAAGGAUUUGAAUUAUCUAUGCUUGAAAGUCUCUUAUGGAACCAGAAGUCUAAACCAUCAGUAUCUAAAAGAUUUAAGGUCAGAAUUCCUUCCUCCCUGGGAGAAUUUUGGGGUAUUGAUGGUUUACGAUCGAUAGCUAGAGUUUGGGAUUGAAGUGGUUGUGAUCUGGCUAUCGAAACUUCUUCUUGUCUAGGAACUGGUUCUUUCUCUUUCUCAGGGAUAUAAAUGCCAAGAUACUUUCCGCUCAUUAAAUCAAUCAAAUUCCAAGCUUCACUAGCGGACAGGUGGUGGAAAGAUCCUCUAGAGGCUGCAUUAAGGGUUUGCUUAUUUUCCCUACUAAGGCCCUUAAAAAAGUGAAUUAGAAGAACUUCUUUUGGAAUAGAAAGAUUUGGGCCCGUGAGAGUACGGUCAAUAAAGUGGUCCCAUGAUUCGCCAAGAUAUUCUUCUUCUAGUUGUCUAAAAGAAAGAAUCUCGAUCCGAAGAUCCGCCACUUUGGAGAUUGGAAAAUAUUUAGAGAGAAAACUAUUGUAUAGCUCAUUCCAAUCUCCAUGGGCACUUCCUAUGUUGAGUUUAUACCAAUGUCUAGCUUUUUCCGUUAAAGAGAACGGAAAGAGCUUCGAUUUAAGGGUCUCAUCAAACAUGCCUUCAAGGCGAAGGAGGUCACAGACUCGAUAAAACUCUCUUAGAUGUCUGUAUGGGUUUUCCUCACCUUCUCGUGAGAAAGGUUGUUUUUGAAGAAAUUCUAUGUAUUCUAGGUUUAUCUCAAAACUAGAUGUCAUGAUAGGCUUUGAAGAUUUUGGUGGUUCGAGAUGUGUGCCUAUAGGUCUAUUAAACUGAUUGUCGAGGGUAUCAACAAGGGGUACCCUCACCAAUGCGUAUAACGAGACCAUCCGUACACACGCGCGGCCAUCGACGGCCGCAGCCUCGAAGACGGAAAUAGCGUCGAGCGAAUCGGUCAGGGCUCGAGCGACAACGGCCGUCGAAUACGGAAGCAGGCUCGAGCGAACCGAGAGGCGUCGAGCGCAAGGACGCUGUCCGCCGCCUGACGCGCGCACGAGAGCCAGAGCAUUUAAUGCACCUGACGCUUCCCCACCAACACACGGGUCACGGGAGGCUUCUGUCCCAUCGUUCUUUUUGCAGCCUUCCCACCGAACGACCCAGGGCGUGUCAGGACGCGGGAAACAAGGAUGGAACGUCUAAUCGGGACCCCCUCGAGACACCCAAGGUCAGCGCUCCAGAUAUCGACACCUCGUACGGCGUCCGACCCUCGACCUCACCAGGCUCCUUCCUGGAGACGAGUCGGGCGUCGACUGACCACGCCGUAACCGCUCCGCCGGAUUUGCCGCCGAGCCAUAUAAGUGUGUAUCCACCGAACCAAUCCAAGACGGCGCGCAGAGCAGAAUGCAGGGGCACGCGUGAUCAUCACCAGGCUAUUAAGACGGGACGGCUCGAGGGCUUGCCGGUACGGAAACCUCGAGUAGGUCGGCGCUCCAUGCUGCUAUCGACUCCAAUUCCUACACCUAUACUUGUACCCUAGGCCCUUCCUUGGAACUAUAAAAGGGGGGACUCAGGAAUAGAACGGGGAUCACGACACAAGACCAAGCUCAUACGUAGUAGAGCUCCACACUUCAUACCACGCUUGUAUUCGCCCCUGUACAAGCACUUAGGUGCAAGAUAAUACAAACUCUCUCCCCCCGCUGGACGUAGGGCCUUCUCUUGCCCGAACCAGGAUAAAUCUCUGUGUCUUCUUGCAUCACCAUCCGGGAAAGGGAGCACGCAUACAAAUUUACUCGUUGGUGUGACCCCCCGGGGGAAAAACACCGACAGUUGGCGCGCCAGGUAGGGGUCCUGUGUGUUUUUCAUCGAUUUCCCACUCCUUUCCGGAUGGCUACUCUUGCCUCGCCGUUUCCGCGCUCCACGGUGAUUUGGUUUGGGAGUCUCGAGUUCAUGUCUACGGGCUCCGGCUACGACAUGAUCUUGCUCUCAGUCAAAGGACCAGGAGGAGCCCGCGUUACGCCAGCACGGUUGAAGGCCCCGAGACGCCCUCACCACCACGCCUCCCCGCCUAAGAAGAGGCGCGGACAGCACCACCGCGGCCCCCCUGCUUCAGCACGACCAACAACUCGUGCGAGGCAGGACGUAGGCCACAAGUCGGCAGCACCGUGUGACGGAGCAACAAGCGCGACGACUCAGCACCGCGCGACGACGGGAGGGGACGCGUCUCGCGCGCUCUCCCCCACCGCAGCUAGGCUACUUCCACACGGGUUGUUCUCUCCAAGAGCGGCACUGCCGUUCGGAUUGGACAACGCCGCGGCGUCGCUCGCCAGGGCAAUAUGCCCAAACGCCCAGACGUACGUAGAAAGACCAAUGGUCCUCCCACGUAGCUCUGAAGCGCGGCGGCCGGCGUCCGAGCUGCCGGACCUUUCCCGAGUACGAGGCCUCUGUCGUCUAGGCCCCGGACGAUACUCGAUCACCUCCCUCAGGCAACGAUUGCUGGAGGAAGGACGUGGGUGUUUCUACGCCGCUGAACCGGACUCUGACUCCGAGACAGAUAGCUAUGACCCUACGAGGGAAUGCUAUCACAUCAACGGGGCGGUAGAAACUACUGACGAGACACGGGAUGCUGCUGCGGGUGGUCGAGCCCCCGCGGCGCGAGAAGACCCCAGGACGCCUGGGAACAACGGACAGGUCGACCCCCCUCCUCAGGAAGACAGAACCGUGCAGCUCGCGCAGCUGCGGGAGCUCAAAAUGAAGCUCGACGAAGACCGCGAGUGCCUCGUCCUGCUCGAGCAAAUCCUCGAGCAAGACCUGCCCUACCCGCCGGGCGGAAGUGUCCGCAGACGCGCUCGAGAGGUACAUCGACAGAUCGUCGGCGACGCAGAGCCAGAGCCACCUGUCAGCCGUUUCCCUCGAGCAGGCCAGAAUGUAGUGGCAGCGACGAUGCUGCUACGUAACAUGCCAGAGCCGUCGAAUUCCCAGGCCCGACGCAUUCGAGAUGAAGUACAGACAUUGCUCCAGGUGGCGGCGGUUCAACAAGCCGAAAGUUCGGCGUCUCGACGACGAGGAGCUGCCACAGAGAAGCGCGACGAACAGCCUCUAAACGAAGAGGAGGUGUCAGUCCAUCAACAACCUCCCCCUCGAGGUAGAAAGACCGCUCUCAUCCUCCCAGUCGACAAUCAACGUCGACACGACGCGCGGCACGACAUCAAAGAAAAUCGACGCCGCCGGCACGGAGACGCGGAAGAGCGCGGUUAUAGCGCGCAUCGCGGUGGGAGAUACGACAGCGACGAGGACCGGGUGGCCCCCGAGCCACCGGGCCCACGGGUGUUCAGCAGGGCGAUCCGCAGCACGCCCCUGCCCAAUCCAUUUCGACCCCCGACCAGCAUCGCGAAGUACAAUGGAGAGACCAAGCCAGAGUUAUGGCUGGCCAAUUUCAGGCUGGCGUGUCAGCUAGGUGGCGCUCGAGGUGAUGAUCGAGCCAUCAUCAGACAGCUACCCCUUUUCCUCUCCGAUACCGCCCGUCGAUGGCUCGAGGAACUCCCUGCCAAUCAGAUCCACAACUGGGUUGAUCUGGUCAGAGUCUUCGAGGGUAACUUCAAAGGGACCUACAUACGGCCAGGGAACUCGUGGGACCUCAGCAAAUGCAAGCAGAAGUCAGGAGAAACUCUUCGGGAGUAUGCUCGAUGCUUCUCGAAGCAGCGCACUGAGCUGCCGCACAUCCCUGACCACGACGUCAUCUUGGCGUUUGUCUCGGGCACCACCAGUCGAGACUUGGUGCGGGAAUUAGGUCACAAUCGACCUCAGACCGUCGACGAGCUGAUGGACGUAGUAGCCAACUACGCGGCAGGGGAGGAGGCAGUCGGCGCUUUCUUCAGCUCAGAAGGAAGAAAAGGCAAGCAGCCCGUCGACGAAGAUGGGACCUCUAGUUGAGGCCUCAAGAAAAAUAAAAAGAAGCAGAAAGUGCGGCAGUUCCACCGGGAAGAUUCCGAUGACAACCUUGUCGCCGCCAUGGAUCGAAAGAAGCCUCGAGGCCCUCCGGAUGGAGGCAUCUUCGACAAGAUGUUGGAGGAGCCGUGCCUUUACCAUAAGGGAGGCGCCAACCACAAGCUCAAGGACUGUCGUAUGCUGAGAAAGCAUUUCGACGGUCUGGGGUUCAAAAAAGAUACGCGUGAUGACUCCAAGAAAGAGAAGGCUGGCAGCAAGGAGGACAACAAAGAUGACGACGGCUUCCCCGCCGUCCACGACUGCUACGUGAUCUAUGGCGGGCCCUCGACUCAAUUAACCAUGAGGCAGCGCAAAAGGGAGCGUCGCGAAGUCUUUACGGCAAGAAUGGCGGUGCCCCAGUACCUUAGCUGGUCAAGCACUCCUAUCACUUUCGACCGAGAGGACCAUCCCGACAAGGUAGUCGCCCCAGGCGUCUACCCGCUCGUCGUCGACCCCAUCAUCGUCAACACCCGACUCUCGAAAGUGCUGAUGGAUGGUGGCAGCAGCCUCAACAUCAUCUACCUCGAGACCCUCGACCUCCUCGGCAUCGAUAGAGGACGCCUCCAGCCAAGCGCCGGCAGUUUCCAUGGCGUCGUGCCAGGGAAAAAGGCACUGCCAGUAGGUCGAAUUGACCUACCGGUCUGCUUCGGCACAGCGGCCAACUUCAGGAAGGAGACCCUCACCUUCGAGGUGGUUGGGUUUCGAGGCACGUACCACGCCAUCAUCGGGCGCCCGGGCUACGCCAAGUUCAUGGCUAUACCCAACUACACCUACUUGAAGCUGAAGAUGCCCGGUCCCAAAGGCGUCAUCACUGUCAGUUCCUCCUUCGAGCACGCGUACGAGUGCGACGUCGAGUGCGUCGAGUACGGGGAGGCGGUCGAGAACUCCACCGAGCUCGUCGCGAAGCUCGAGGCCCUGGCCGCUGAGGCUCCAGAGCCUAAGCGCCACGCGGGCAGCUUCGAGGCGGCGGAAGGAACCAAGAAGAUCCCGCUCGACCCCAACAACUCCGACGGCAAAGUGCUGACGAUCAGCACCGACCUCGACCCCAAAUAGGAAGCUGUGCCCGUCGACUUUCUCCGUGCAAAUGCCGACAUGUUUGCAUGGAGUCCCUCGGACAUGCCAGGCAUACCGAGGGAAGUCGCCGAGCACUCCUUGGAGAUUCGAGCCGGUUCCAAGCCAGUGAAGCAGCGGUUGCGCCGAUUCGACGAGGAGAAGCGCAAGAUCAUUGGCGAGGAAGUCCACAAGCUUUUGACGGCCGGAUUCAUCAAGGAGGUUCAUCAUCCUGACUGGUUAGCAAACCCUGUAUUAGUUAAGAAAAAGAAUGGGAAAAUGAGGAUGUGUGUCGAUUAUACUAGUCUGAAUAAAGCAUGUCCAAAAGUUCCCUUUCCAUUGCCACGCAUUGAUCAGAUUGUCGAUUCUACCGCGGGAUGUGAAACCCUUUCUUUCCUUGAUGCAUAUUCUGGUUACCACCAAAUAAAAAUGAAGGAGUCCGACCAGCUCGCGACCUCUUUCAUCACGCCUUUUGGGAUGUAUUGCUACGUGACCAUGCCAUUUGGGCUUCGAAACGCCGGAGCCACGUAUCAACGUUGCAUGCUCCACGUAUUUGGCGAACAUAUAGGGUCAACGGUCGAGGCCUACAUCGACGACAUUGUCGUCAAGUCAAAGCGACGAGGAGACCUGAUCCAGGACCUCGAGAUUGCCUUUAGCUGCCUACGCACCAGCCGGAUCAAGCUCAAUCCCGAGAAGUGCGUUUUCGGUGUGCCUCGAGGCAUGCUCCUAGGAUACAUCGUUUCGCAGCGCGGCAUCGAGGCCAACCCCGGGAAAGUCUCGGCCAUCACGAAAAUGGGGCCGAUCCGAGACAUCAAGGGUGUACAGAGAGUCAUGGGGUGCCUGGCGGCUCUGAGCCGUUUCAUCUCGAGACUAGGAGAAAAGGCAUUACCAUUAUAUCGACUCCUAAAGAAGGUCGAGCGCUUUUCUUGGACCCCCGAGGCCGAGGAAGCACUCGAAAGACUGAAGAAGACGCUGACCUCGGCACCAGUCUUGGUUCCACCUCAACCUGCAGAGCCGCUGCUCCUCUACGUCGCGUCGACGACCCAGGUCGUCAGCGCGGCGGUGGUGGUCGAGAGACAGGAGGAGGGACAUGCGUUACCAGUUCAGAGGCCAGUAUAUUUCGUCAGCGAGGUGCUUUCGGAGACCAAAGCACGUUAUCCCCAAAUCCAAAAGCUGAUUUAUGCCGUAAUCCUUGCCCGUCGCAAGCUGCAGCAUUACUUCCUUGGCCACCCCAUCAUGGUGGUCUCGUCCUUUCCUUUAGGUGAAAUAAUCCAGAGCAAAGAAGCCACGGGAAGAAUAGCAAAAUGGUCGGUCGAGCUCAUGAGUGAGACUCUCACUUAUGCGCCUCGCAAGGCCAUCAAAUCGCAGGCCCUGGUAGACUUCAUCGCAGAAUGGACGGACACCCAGCUCCCCCCGACCCAGGUCCAGGCGGAACUAUGGACGAUGUAUUUUGAUGGGUCACUCAUGAAAACUGGAGCCGGAGCCGGCCUGCUGUUCAUCUCACCCUUGGGCGUCCACAUGAGGUACGUAAUCAGGAUUCAUUUUGCCGCAUCUAACAAUGUCGCAGAAUAUGAGGCCCUCGUCAACGGUCUCAAGAUCGCUAUCGAGUUAGGAGUCCGACGCCUCGACGUCCGAGGUGACUCCCAACUCAUCAUCGACCAAGUAAUGAAAACCUUGAGCUGCCACGACCCAAAAAUGGAAGCGUACUGCAAGGAGGUCCGUCGACUCGAAGACAGGUUCCACGGUCUCGAGCUUGUCCAUAUCGCUCGACGCUACAACGAGGCAGCAGACGAACUCGCCAAGAUCGCAUCGACCAGAGGCACGGUGCCGCCUGACGCAUUCUCAAAAGAUCUUCACGAGCCAUCCGUCGACCUAGGCACGGGGGCUGGCAUCGACGCCACCACCGCCCAACCAACCAAUGCUGUCGAUACGCUCUUGAUGGUGGAAGAGAUGAUGGAGAUAGAACGACGACCAGGUCGACCAUUCGAUUGGCGCACACCGUUCCUCGACUGCCUUAUCCGCGGCGAGUUGCCAGAAGACAGGUUAGAAGCUCGUCAUAUCGCUCGACGGGCCAAAUCAUAUGUGAUCUAUGGCGAAGACAACGAGCUAUAUCGACGGAGCCCGACGGGGGUCUUACAACGUUGCAUCACCGUGGAAGAAGGCCGAAAACUCCUCGAUGACCUGCACUCGGGGGCUUGCGGUCACCACGCCGCUCCACGGACCCUUGUAGGGAACGCUUUUCGACAAGGCUUCUACUGGCCAACGGCCGUGGCGGACGCCAUCGAGCUCGUACGAUCAUGUCACGGGUGUCAGUUCUAUGCCAAGCAGACGCAUCUGCCUGCCCACGCUCUUCAGAUGAUCCCCAUUACCUGGCCUUUUGCGGUGUGGGGGCUCGAUUUAGUAGGACCUCUACAAAAGGCGAAAGGAGGAUUCACCCAUUUGCUGGUGGCCAUUGACAAGUUCUCCAAAUGGAUCGAGGCUCGACCCAUCACCAACAUCCGCUCCGAGCAGGCCGUCCUUUUCUUCACCGACAUCAUCCAUCGGUUUGGGAUCCCCAAUGUCAUCAUCACCGACAACGGCACCCAGUUCACCAGCAAAAAAUUCUUGGACUUCUGCGAUCGGCAUCACAUCCGUGUGAACUGGUCUGCAGUAGCCCACCCUCGAACUAACGGCCAAGUCGAGCGUGCCAACGGCAUGAUUUUGCAAGGACUCAAGCCAAGGAUCUACAAUCGAUUGAAGAAAUUUGGCAAAAAAUGGGUCGAGGAGCUUUCCUCAGUCCUAUGGAGCCUUAGGACAACACCAAGCAGGGCCACAAAAUACACCCCGUUCUUCAUGGUCUACGGCUCUGAGGCUAUCCUCCCCACAGACCUCGAGUAUGGGUCACCUCGACUCAAGGCCUACAACGAGCAAUCGAACAAAGAGACUCAAGAAAACGCGGUCGACCAAUUUGAGGAGGCUAGAGACAUGGCCCUCCUCAACUCUGCCAGAUAUCAGCAAAGGCUUCGACGCUACCACGACAAGCAUGUGCGCAAGAGGGACCUCAACGUGGGCGACCUAGUCCUACGACGCCGGCAAAGCAAUCAGGGACGCCACAAGCUGACUUCGCCUUGGGAAGGUCCGUACGUAGUGGCCGAGGUCCUGAAGCCGGGAACGUACAAGCUGGCGGACGAAAAGGGGGCAAUUCUCACCAACGCAUGGAACAUCGAACAGCUACGUCGAUUCUACCCCUAGAAGUUCCAAACUUAUGUUCCUGCUUACGUUUUGUACCGAGACUUUGUAAACGAAUGAAUGAAUAAAUAAAGUCCUUCCCUCGAACCAAUUCUUCUUUCUUUGUGCCGAGAAGAUUAAUAAGUCACGAUCUCGACGUUAAAAGGGGGCGCCGACUAUGACCCAUCAUAGUCGGCACCCCCUCGGGGGCUACCAGGGGGACGACCCCCCCCCCCCGAGUAUCGAAAAAAACCAAUAAGUUCUCUUUUCUUACGUAGUAAACCUUGCACGGUUCAAGUAGCUAAGGCGCCUCGAGCCCCUCAAAGGCCGAGGGACAACGAGCUGGAGAACUCCUACGCCCCCGGGCUACGGAAACUCUACUCACUUCCCCACCAUUGAAGUGAUCGAGGUGGUCUUUUACGAAAAAUCGAGCAAGGGAUACAAACGUAGGCGCAAAGAGAAACGAAAGCAUCAAGCGGAAAGACAAAAUAAGCAUUUAACAAUUACGAAAGUGAUACAGCAUCAGUUACCCACAGAAUUAACAAAGUAUCGUACAAGGGGCCUCAGGCGCCCUGAGCAGGCUCGCAGGCCUCAGUCCGCGGCACGAUCCUCACCGCCCUCGCCUCCGCCCGAGCUAGCCUCAGGAGGGAGCAUCUCAGGCUCGAAAAGCUUGGCCAACCUUUCCCCAGGAGCCUCCGCGUCGUCGAUCAAGGCAUGGAGCCUCUCCUCGUUCUCCGCGUCGGUCUUGGAGAUGUCGGUGACGAAGCCAUGGGACACCACCUCCAUGUCGUAGGAGAAGCGCGAGCAGACAACCGCCAUCGCCCGCUUCACCCCGAUGUGGAGGGCGUCCCGCACCCGAUCUCGCAGCGUCGUGCCUAUGUAGCACAACUGGUCGACCAGGGCGUCGCCUCGAGCGUCCUCCCUCGACUCAUCCAUAGGCUCGACCUCCCAAGAGGUCGAGAGAUCACUUAUCGCCGUCCGCACUCGACGGUUCAAAGCAACCUCCGCCUCGAGCUGAGCCUUGGCGUUGCGAGCCUCGGCUUGGGCGGCCAGGAGUUCGUCCUUGAGCCCUGUAAAAGCCAAUAUAAAGAGACCCUAGGAAAAACUAAGCACACCGCGGGAAAAGAAAUCUGAUAGAGGAAACAUACCGCGUACGGUCUCCUCGAGGGCCGUGUUCUCGCCGACCAGCCUGGUGUUGGCCCCCUCGAUCUCUUUGUUGGAGCGUGCCAGCUCGGUAUUGGCAACGCGGAGAUCCUCGAUCGCCUUGCCAGAUCCGCGAUAACGCUCUUGUAGGACAGGGCCUCCUCCCGGGCUCUGGACGCGGCUUCCUCGACCGUAAGAGCCUGCUCCCGUAGCUGCAUCGUCUCCUCCUCCACCUUCUUUGAGGCCUCUCGGGCCUCGGCCAAAGCAGCCUCCCUCGCCUUCUUCUCCUCCUCAAGUGCUAUGAGAUCUUUGUAAGCUUUAAGGAGCUUUUCCUGCGACUCGAGGAGUUGAUCCUUGAGGAGGGGGAGCUGCUCCCAACCGCCCCUCGUGGCGUGUAUGAAGCUAGACUUUAUGCGGGAGGUCUCUUUCAUAUCCUGCGAAUCCAGGGUCGGAUGGAUUAGAAUACAGAAACCAGAAAGCACCAUGAGGAUUGGAGUUCGAGAAACACUUACGAAAUAAGCCGGGCCGAGCCCGUUGUUGAUAACGUCCGAGAGGAGCCCCACCACAUGCUUCAUCCAAAGGCGGAGCUCCUCGACGUGUUCCCACUUCUCCGCCUCCUUCCGAUCGUCGAGGAAGAUGUCGGGCUCGGACGGGUCGUGGGAGGCCCGGAUACGGAUGCGGUCGGGGCACCAGUGCUCCAUCUCCCGGUCAGCCCGCGCCUUAACGCCGUGGAUGAGGCCCUCGACGGUCUCGAGGGAGCCCCCAUGGCGCAGGAACAGGUCGACGAGGCAUGGGAACCGUCCAUCGUCGUCUAGUGUCUUCCAGGUUCCAUCCUUGGUCCACGAUGCCCCAAUUUCAUCCUCCUCGGAAGGGAAGCGGUCCUCCCACGCCCGACGUUCCCGGAGGAACCCUGGGGCGAUCCCAUCCAUGCCGUAAAUUGUCCUCUUGAUAUCGGACUCGGGGUCGGGGGGCGUGCGUUUCAGGCAGGCCAGCGCCACCACUCCAUCCUCUCGCCCCGGCUCUGCCCGGAUCGCGGCAGGUGCCCCCGGGAGGAGCCACGCCGGGGUUGGGGGCCGUACACCGGCAGGUCCUCCUCCUCGCCGAGCUCUUGCGGCUCCGGUGGCACUGGCUGGGCCGGACCUUGAGGCGGAGGCUCGAGCGGUCCCUCCUCUUGGCCCGCCUGCUGCUGCUGUUGCUGCUGCGGUGGUUGCUGUUGCUGCUGCUGCGGUUGCAGCUGCGGUUGUUGCUGUUGCUGCUGCCGCUGUUGUUGUUGUUGUUGUUGCUGUGCCUCAUGCUCCUGUGGCUGCCGCGCCACCUCGCGCUCCCGCUGUUCAUCCUCCUCCCUCUUCUUUUUUUGCUCCUCGAGGGUGCGGAGGCCGGCGGGCCAGGGAGUUGAUCCCGCGACGUUGGGGGUCGACGCUUCCUCCUCCAUAGGGCGAGCGCCCCCAGACGCUUCGUUACCAUCGGACGUAUCGCUGAUGGUGAUGGGUUCCCCCUCGACCCCCAAUCGAGGGGGCUCGGGGGCUCCCUCCGACGCUUGCGUCUGGGGCGCCUCAUCACGAGUCGGCGGCGACGGAGUAGGCGCGGGACGAGACGGAGCCUUCUCGACGCCGGCUGGAGGUUGGGAGCUGGAGGAGCCUACGAAAGAAAGGGUAAGGGUCAGACGUUAUGAUAACCGACACAAGAACAUCGCAACGCCCAGAAAUAAAUUACGAACCUGGUUCCUUGGAGGCGGCACCCGUUUUGAGCCUCUUUGCCAUGGAUGGUUGGGCCUGCUCAAGGGUCCGCUUUAGCGUGAGAAAAGGUUGGCAUAUGAGGAAAGGUGGAAGAAUGGGAAGACAAAAACCGCAACAUCAAAAAGGCUUACCCCACAGGGAGAACGGCUCGCCUCCCGCCAUCCCGACCAGUGGGCCUCGAGCCACCCCGCGUCAGGGCUCCAGGCCCCUCGAGGGCAGGCACUGGCCUAGGCGCGUCGGUCCCCGCCUGGCGGGCGCCGGGACUGGCGCUCCUAUGGCCGGCAUCUCCUUUCUCAGAGGCCGCGGCGCGACCACGAGUUAGUGGCCCCGACGCCUGGGGCCUAGCCAGACCGCUCUCCCUGGGCACCGGGGGAGGGCGCGGUGCGUCUUGGCCCGCCUUGGGCGCGGGAGGGGUGUCGGCCCGGGGGCGACGAGAUCCGCUCGGACCCUCCUCUGGCGCCUCCGUCCGGGGGGCGUCGACGUCACCUCGAGGCGGGCCCUCGAGAAUCCGAUCAAGACGCGACGCCAUCCCCUCAGAGUCGUCGCUGUCCUCGUCGUCGUCGUCAUCAUCGUUAGGAGAUUCUUCCUCAGGCUCCCCCCUCUGCCUGGAUUUGGCUCGACGCGCCUCUAAUGCUUGGCGGUCGAGGUUCUUCUUCUUCUCCCCCUUCUUUGCAGAGUCCUUGGCAAACUUUAGCUUUUCGGCAGAUUGGCGCCGUUUGUCACGAUCGACCUCGUCCUCCUUUACCGGAGGCCUCGAGGACCGGACAUCAAUCCGACCCUGCCAAAACAAAGGUAGACUUAGAAAAAAGAGAGGGGAGAAAGGAAGCCCAGAAUCGAGGCUGCGCGCAAGAAGAAAGCGUACCAGAUCGAUCGAGCCUGCGUCUGGUCUCAUGGGGAAGCCGUUAACGUGCUCCGGCUGAAAAUCACCGGCAAUUGCAGCCCUGACUCGGGCCGCGACUUCGUCGUCCGCCGGAGCCUCGUUGGACAUCCGACACGCCUCAAGGUCCCGAGAUGAGACGCCAGGGCCCAUCUCGUCCAUCCUCAACGGUCGAGACAUCAAAGGGAGAACUCUCCGGUGAUGGACGGCCGAGAGGACGAGAGCGGCAGUCAAACCCUCCUGGCGAAGCUUCUUCAGGGCGUCGAGGAGGGGGUCGAGCCGAGAUUGAUGAGCUUGGACGACGCCGUAUGUCCAGUCCGCUGGACGCUCCAUGAUCAGACGGUCCGAGUAGGAAGGCAGGAGGUUGUCAUCGUUCCGCAGGUAACACCACUGGGAGUCCCAGCCGGCGUGGUUGGUCGAUAACCCUACCGGGAUGUACUCCCGUGGCCUGUCCGUCUUCCACGUCUUCUGAACCAGAUUGAGGCAUCCCGCCCGCACGGGCUUCCUUACGCCCGUGGUUCCGGUGGGGGCAUGGAAAAGCUCGCCCCUGUAGAGGUGGAGCCACAGCUCCCAGUGCGGCAUCAUCCCCAAGUAGCCCUCACACACGGCGGCGAAGACCGCCGCUACGGUGAUGGCGUUCGGAGAGAAGUGCUGGAGCUCCACCCCAUAAUGGAAGCAGAGGGCCCGCAUGAAGCGGCUCGGGGGCGCGCCCAGACCGUGGCGGUGGAACUUGGCGAACGACACCACGUAGCCCUCGGGCGGCUGAGGCCCCCUGUGACUCGCCGGCGGCGCGAUCCACUCUGGCGACGAUAGCGAGGUACGGCGGCGCAGCAGUCCCUCUUUCUCAAGCUCUAACAACCGGCACUCCGUCAUCAACGACGGGCGCCAGUCGUCGGCGGCGACGAGUCUUACAGGCAUCUCGGCUGGAGGGACGGUGGAUUCACUACAGCUCGAGGAGGCGUGUGCGCGCGAGACGGCGAGAAAGCAAAGGCAACGAGAGAAUAAAAGCGAGAAGGCGGAAGGGAGAGGAACGGCGGCGACGCCACGACGUAUUUAUAGGCAGCAGUCCGCCAACGGACAGAUCCGAGAAAUAAGGUAACUCCCUCCCUUAAAUGUGCCACCUAAUCGUCUCUUUCCCACGCAGGCAUGGCGCCCCGAAUUCCACGCCGACGCAGUGUCGUAACGUCACCCGCCUAAAAAGGCGCGCCCAACGGGCAGAAAGGCGAACCGCCACGGCCACUUCCUUCCCUCGUAAGCCAAGGGACGUACCCGCGAGAGUCUCGAGAGGUCGAUGGCUGGCCCGCCGGAAGGGUUCGACAGCCGAUCUCGAGCACCAAGAGUCAGGGAUCCCCAGCGAGUGGUCGAAAAUCGAGGCCCGCCUCGGGGACUCGCUGGCGAUGUCCAAGGAAGGGUCGAGACAGUCGAGAGGAAUCCCCCCGAAGGGAGGCAUCGAGCCGCUGGACUCUAUCGAAUGAGACCGGUAUCCCCGACCACGUCGACCCUGCUUUAUGAGAACGCCUCCGGGCUACAGCUGACCCCCUCGAAAGGGGCACAGGUUCUCACUUGGACUACCCGCUAGGAACUCAAUCUGGGGUGGAAGACGCUCGCUCUAUCGAGAGUACGUCGAAACCUCCACGCAAGGCAAAGCCGAACAGAACCUUCCACCACGGGUGUUGACAGCGUAUCUGCAAAUUUGGCAAAAUAACCCUCGAAGGAGUUAAAUACUCCCUCGAGGGCUCGGGGGCUACCCCCGCGGGGUUGCUCGCGCGCCCCCGUGGAAGCUCGACCGUAAAAACGAAAGUCUCCACUCGAGCGCCAGCGCUCGAAUGAAGACUCGGGGGCUACUGUCGAGGGUAUCAACAAGGGGUACCCUCACCAAUGCGUAUAACGAGACCAUCCGUACACACGCGCGGCCAUCGACGGCCGCAGCCUCGAAGACGGAAAUAGCGUCGAGCGAAUCGGUCAGGGCUCGAGCGACAACGGCCGUCGAAUACGGAAGCAGGCUCGAGCGAACCGAGAGGCGUCGAGCGCAAGGACACUGUCCGCCGCCUGACGCGCGCACGAGAGCCAGAGCAUUUAAUGCACCUGACGCUUCCCCACCAACACACGGGUCACGGGAGGCUUCUGUCCCAUCGUUCUUUUUGCAGCCUUCCCACCGAACGACCCAGGGCGUGUCAGGACGCGGGAAACAAGGAUGGAACGUCUAAUUGGGACCCCCUCGAGACACCCAAGGUCAGCGCUCCAGAUAUCGACACCUCGUACGGCGUCCGACCCUCGACCUCACCAGGCUCCUUCCUGGAGACGAGUCGGGCAUCGACUGACCACGCCGUAACCGCUCCGCCGGAUUUGCCGCCGAGCCAUAUAAGUGUGUAUCCACCGAACCAAUCCAAGACGGCGCGCAGAGCAGAAUGCAGGGGCACGCGUGAUCAUCACCAGGCUAUUAAGACGGGACGGCUCGAGGGCAUGCCGGUACGGAAACCUCGAGUAGGUCGGCGCUCCAUGCUGCUAUCGACUCCAAUUCCUACACCUAUACAUGUACCCUAGGCCCUUCCUUGGAACUAUAAAAGGGGGGACUCAGGAAUAGAAUGGGGAUCACGACACAAGACCAAGCUCAUACGUAGUAGAGCUCCACACUUCAUACCACGCUUGUAUUCGCCCCUGUACAAGCACUUAGGUGCAAGAUAAUACAAACUCUCUCCCCCCGCUGGACGUAGGGCCUUCUCUUGCCCGAACCAGGAUAAAUCUCUGUGUCUUCUUGCAUCACCAUCCGGGAAAGGGAGCACGCAUACAAAUUUACUCGUUGGUGUGACCCCCCGGGGGAAAAACACCGACACUGAUAGAUAGAUAUGUUUGCCUUCAUGAUAGACCAGUGAUCAAGGAUUAGAUAAGAAUAAAGAAUAGCAGAGAUAAGGCAAAGGAUAAAAGGAAAAAUAUAUAUUUUUUUAUUUUUAGAAAAUGAUUAAGCUAGUUCGUAGUCAACUCAACAACCGUCUCCCCGGCAACGGCGCCAAAAAGCUUGUUGACACUUGCUAACACCACUUGAAUACUAGGUUGUCAUCCCCAGCAUGGCACUAGAGUGUACUAUUGUAUUUAUACACACACAGAUAAAUUCGCAAGCGCACGGAUACCAUUGUAGCUUUUACCCGGUUAAAGGUUUUAUCGUAGCCACAGGGAAACGGGAGAACCAACUACGCUCUAACUUAACCAAGAUAGAUAGAUAGGUGUAAAUAGGAAAGAUGGUAGAAUUGAAUAAGAACAAUAUUAAAGGUAAAAUGAUAAUGGGGGAAUAUAGAGUACAGCAAUCUAAUAUAUGGACAAUAAUAGGAGAAUAGAGAGGAUAACUAGGGUUUCUCUACUUCAAAGGGGUAUGUCUAUGUCUGGGACGAACCAUGUGAUAAGAAUACACCACAAAGGAUGCUUAUCCAUAGGCCGAUAAACCCUACCAGUCCUGCUAACGGGAGGUGGACUAUAGGGGACCAAUGUAACUGUCACCUACGCGGCCUACCACACGAUCCAGCUAGACAGAGGAUAUCCACAAGUAAUCUAGGUCUAAGCACCAUGCUUACACCUAUACUACAACUCUAACCUAUAGGGUCCUAUAGAUUAAAAGUACUCGAAAGAGUUGCGAACCAGAUCAUACAUGGAUAGUAACUACAUAAUGAAAUAGAAGUAGAUUACCAAAGUCAUCCCAUGAGCAAGCUUGAUUAGAGCUUGAUCAUGGCGAAGUACAACCGGAGGAAGAACCGACAGGCCGGCCUCUCCUCUAAUCCUCCCUCGCUCUCCAUCUCGCUACUAUCUAGAUCUACUCUAGUUCAUAGAUGAGAGGAGCACUCUUAUCUCCAAACCCUAGCUUUUGCUCUGUCUAUGAAUAAUGAAUUAGGAUGAAGAGGUGUCUCCUCCAGGGGCCAGGGGGCCUGCUUAUAUAGCCCUUCCAAAUGAACGUGGGCCGUCGGAUCAAACCGACCUUAAUCGCACGGUUUUCCUUGAUCCUCAAAGGAGGUGGAGCAUAAUCCGCGAGGCGGAGCCUGAUUGGCUGCCAGAGCAGGGCAGGCGCCCUAGGGGGGAGGGCGGGCACCCUGUCCCCGGGCCCGCUCGGCCUCCCGUUCGUUCCCGUGGCUUCUGGACUCUUCUAGAUGAUAGAAAAUUGGUGCACACGUUAAUAUCUCUAUGUAAACCCGAUGUGUGGGCCUUUCCACUAUAUUUCCUGAUAACCCCAUGCAGAAAUAGACAAACACCAAAACUCGUGGAAUUCUGUCAGAUAAAACCCUAAGUCUGGAUGUUGAUUGCAUUUGGAUCCUUUUCUUUAUUUAUUUGAUGAUUAAAUUUUAUACUCAAUGACCGUCAACAAAGGUCCAUGAGUAUUUGUUGGAAAGCUUGUCGAGUUUACUUUCCAGUGAAUCAAGUGGUGACCAGUUUGGAGACUCCAUAUUGCCUACAGACCAGAAUUAGUACAGACUGCUUAGAAGGUCAACAGUUUGUCGUGACAGAAUGUUGGUACAACUUGCCAAGUAAAACUGUACCAAUCUACAAUGUUUCGUGCUGGUUGGCAUACAUUGCUGGAAAGCACUUUGAGUCUAGUUUCACACCCAAGAAAUGGUUCAUCAUUUGGACUUCCCAAUAAAAAGUUAUGGUCAAUUUAUUGGAAACUGCUCUGGAGGCCAACAGUCAUGCGAAGCCAGUUCGGGAAUCCAUUCUGAGGGGACCUUUCACAUUGCCUUCCCUCACAAACUCUAUUUCGUUUUCAUACCUACCAAGCAGGGUUGUUGCUAGUAUAAAUUCCCCCAAAGACUCUUUGAAAUCUUUGACUUUUGAUAAUUGAAAUAUAGAACCCCUUUUGUUUAGCUGUGUGCUAGCAAAUAUUCACAGAGUGAUCUCAACCCCUUGCUCUUGUGAUUUCCUCGUGGGAUUACAUAGGCGGCGGCUUCAUCCGCUCCCAAUUGGUGCUCCUACUCCCUUCAAGGUAUCCCUUGAUUGAUUGUAGGUUGUGUUGGUUGGUUCUUUGAGAUUGUGGUUGGGUGAAUCCUCGAUUCAGGUUGCCAGUUAAGACGGUGGUUGGCUUCGAGUUUUAUUUGCCAGGUUGCACUAGUUAUCGCUACUUGGAGUAAGUUAUCCAGCUGUUCUUCAGCUAGUUACCGGUGUUCUUCCUACGUCAUGAAGAUCGGGCCAACAUGUCGCAUCAUCUGGUAUCAAAGCUUUCGUUACUACGGUAGGAAUUUUAUCCCUAGCUACAUAUAUAUUUUGCAUCGUCCUAUCCACCAAAAAGCUAGAAAAAUAUAUUGCUUAGACCUUUGUUUCAAUAUGUUAUUUUAGUGAGUUCGGUUAAGUCGCAGUCCAUUAGAGUCUUUGUUUUGUUUGCUGAUCAUUUCUCCUUUGCGUGUUCUUUGUGCCUCAUUAUAUCUAAAAAUCUCCACACACAAAAAAAAAAUCUCUAGAGCCUAAAUCAUCCUUUGUGUUAUCUUUGAUCCUAUCAAGUUAUCGUUUCUGGUUGUGCUUUGUUUCUAUCAUCAAGUUUGCAAGUAUUAUAUCAGAUCAUUGUGUUUAGUUAUAAAAAAAAAAGUGUGUCAAAAAAAAGGAGAAGAAAGAAAAGAAAAAAAAUCAGAAAGAAAGUUGCAAGAUCAGGUUAUGUCAAGUGCAUCAUUGCUGAAAGUUUUUGUAUUGAGUUGAACAACCAGUUUGCUAUCUUUGUUUGGUGCAAUAUUUUGGUUGGGUCUGAUUGCAACACUUGCAUUGCAAUCAUACUCCUUGUUUGCAUCAAAUCUGAAUUUUCUUUGCGCAUGUGUGUGAUCAUUUACUUCUUUCAUAUCUUGUGGUCAGCACUAGGCAGAGAACUUGUAGUUUGGAUUGUUACUUGACUUUACAAUAACUAGAAUUCAGAUUGCAUUCCUUGUGUAUUACUCCCCACCAAGCGCCACAUAAAAACCAUCAUAAUCGGUACUCUAUGUUCUUGUAUUCGCCUCGCCAUCACUUUCAGUUGCCACCACACAUUUGUUUUCCUUGUAAUCCGCAGCAGAGGAAUUCAUAAGAGCUUUAGUGGUUAGAGAGGUGAGUUGUGAGAGCCACCAAAUUUUCAUAGUCCAUAGAUACAAAUUGUUUGUAUUCAGCUAACCUUAUAUGAAGAUGGAUCGAGUGGACAUCAAAGAUCGUAUUACCAUAGCAUAGUUUAAUGAACUGUGACAAAGCAUGGAAGAAAAAUAAGAUAGGUUGACACAAGAUCUUCAGAAUCUUAUGACUAAAAUCAGAAGGCAUCGUCCACCUUAUGGUGGUGCAAGCAACCAUAGCGUAGAUGGAGAAGAUAGUCAUGGAAGAAGAGGAGGUCGGAGGAACCAGAGGGCUGCAUAUGGUAAAGGAAGAAGACAUUGCCGAAGAAAUGAUGAUGAAUGUGAAGACAAGGAUGAUGACAACCGCUCCCAACUCAAUUUUGGUCGCCGACGUCAUAGAAGAGGCAACCAUGAAGAAAGAUUUGGCAAACUGAAAUUUACCAUGCCAGAAUUUGCUGCUGAACCAUCCACGAGGAAUUUCUCUGCAAGAAGCAAAUCAAACACAAAGUUUGCUGCUGAACCGUCCAAGGUGAAAGGCUCAAGUGGAGGCUCACAAUCUAAUUUUCAGGGUAUUUUUAGUGGAAAGAACACUGCUGUCCCAAGUUCAAAACCAGCAGUAUCAACCACUACUUUAGUGGGUUCUAAUUCUAGGAGUAGUGGAAUUCAAUACUUCAAGUGUAGAGGCCAUGGGCAUACAAGUAAGGUGUGCCCAAAUAAUUAGGUGAUCAUUGUGAAUGAUGAUGGAGAGUAUGAAUCAGCUAGUGUAGGGGGAGUUGAGGAGGAAGCCCAUGGAGAUGAGGUCUUUACUGACUGCGAGUUUGAGCAAAGAGCUGCUCUUGAGGUGACUCAAAUCUUGAGUGUUCAAGCAAAUGAAGCUGAAAAUGGGCAGCGACACAAAUUAUUUCAAACUAGAGCAAAGGUGCAUGAUAAAGUGGUGAAGGUGAUUAUUGAUGGAGGGAGCUGCCAUAAUCUUGCUAGUAGUUAGAUGAGUGAUAAACUUGGCUUGAAGCUGCUACGACACCCUCAUCCAUAUCAUGUAUAGUGGUUGAAUGAUUUGGGAGAUAUCAAGAUUGGAUAUAAAGAGAACGUUCCAUUCAAGAUUGGUGAAUAUGUUGACACAGUAGAGUGUGAUGUGGCACCUAUGUCGGUGUGUCACUUGCUGCUUGGAAGACCAUGGCAAUAUGAUCAAUAUAGCCAACAUUGUGGGAGAACAAAACAAUUCACUAUUAAUCUAAAAGGGAAGAAGUUUGUUCUCAAGCCUAUGACACCCCAACAAAUCAUGGCUGAACACUUACAAAAGAAAUCUAAAAUUGUUCCAGUGAGUAGAGAGGAAGGAGAGCAAAAGAAAUUGAGUGCCAUCCACAAUUCAGUGAGUGAGUGCCACAAGUCAAAUUUAAUUGAGAAAAAGAAAGGAGAGGGAGAGCAUUUAGUCAUGAUAGCCACAAAAUCUGAAAUCAGAGAAGUGAGGAACAACCCCGAACAAGUGCUAUUUAUACUUGUGUACAAAGACAUUUUAAUUCCAGCUAACGACUUGACCUCUCUUCCUAGUGUUGUGUCUCAUCUUUUGUAGGACUAUGGAGAUGUCUUUCCAGAAGAAACACCAGUGGGACUACAUGCAAUUCGUGGACUGAGCAUCAAAUUGAUCUCAUUCCAGGGCCUGCACUACCUAAUCGACCACCAUACCGAACCAAUCCAGAAGAAACAAAGGAGAUACAAAGGCAAGUGCAAGAACUUCUUGAUAAAGGUUUUGUUCAUGAAAGUUUAAGUCCUUGUUGAAAGCCCUAGUUUGGUUUUGGAUAAUUGAUGAAACCCUAGUACUAACCUCUAUACUAAGUGUGUGUAGACAUAAUGAGGUUGGUAUAUGCUAAGUGAUGGAGCAAGUGAUGAUCAUGGUGAUGAUGGUGAUGACCACAAGAUGAUCAAGUACUCAACUUGGAAAAGAAGAAAGAGAGAAACAAAACCCUAUGGAGAUCAAGGCAAAGGUAUUGCUUAGGGUUUUGGUUUUGGUGAUCAAGACACCAUAGAGGGUGUGAUCACAUUUAGGAUAGAUAGCCGUACUAUAAAGAGGGCAAUUCUUUGGCUAAGAGAUUAUCAAGUGCCAUUAGGUGUCAUUGUUCUUGUGCAUGCAUUUAGAACCUAGUGAGCUAACAUAACUCCUUCAAAGAAAAUGAUUGUGAAAAUGCUAAAACACGCGCAAUGAUUCAGUGCUUUUUGAGAAAAUGAAGUGCAUAUUUUCUAUUGCUCUGGUGGGAAAAUUGGAGAAGUUGCAGGAGAGUUUCUCACCGGACGAUGGCCCAGAGGCACCAGACGCUGUGUCUGUGCAUCUGGUGUGCAGUGAGUGCUUGGCUCAGCUAGGGUUAGGCACUGGAAGCCAGGCACCAGACAUAGGCUUGUCCCUAUUUGUGCGUCCGGUGGUACGAGUUCGAUGUGUGGUCCGUUUGUGUACCUCCCUGCAUAUGAGACCGGUGAACACCGGGCAGUCCGUUGCUCAGCAUCCGGUGACCCUGCGCGUUUGCAGACUGUUGAUAGUUCUUAAGUAACAAUUUUAAUUAUUAAAUAAACAAGGGAAAGGACCAAUAUACAAACAACACCUAGAAUUAGGGUUUGAUCUGACAGAAUUCCACGAGUUUUGUUGUUUAUCUGUUUCUACAGGGGGUUAUCAGGAAAUAAGGAAGAAAGGCCCACAUGUCGGGAUUACACAGAGAUAUUAACGCACCGCGCAAUUUUCUACCAUCUAGAAGACUCUAGAAGCCACGGGAACGAACGGGAAGGCGAUUGGGCCCAGGGGCAGGGCGCCUGCCCUGGUGUCUCCACCAAUCAGAGCCAACUUCGUGGAUCAUGCUCCACCGACCUAAAGGAUCACGGAUAACCGUUCAAUCAAUGUCAGUUUGAUCCGACGGCCCAUGUUCACCUGAGGGGACUAUAUAAGCAGACUCCCUGGCCGCUGGAGGAGACAGAAGUUCAUUAUAGAGUUGAGAGGUGCCCUCGAAGUAUAACCUUUCCUCUAAAUAGACUUAGGGCUUAGCAUCCAAUGUGAGAGUAGACUAGUUCUACUAGAUUGAGAGAGAUAGAGUGGAGGUGUAGAUCGGAGGAAGCCCGGCCUGUCGGUGUCUACUCCGAGGUUGUACCUGCGGGAUCAAGUUCUCCUAACCUGAGGCUUCCUCAUAGGAUUCUUCAGUAUUUUGACUUCUAAAUUCUAGUAAGUUCUUGUUUUAUUGUUCUUUGGUUUAUGAGUUUACUUUAAUCUCUUCGCGUAGAGUUUAGAGUAAUCAUCUCUGGCGUAAACGUGGUGUUUGGGCUAGGAUACUCAUAGAUAUCCCCUAACUAGCUGGACCGUGGUAGUAGCGAGGAACGUGACAUUUCCGAGUUACCUUUGCAGCCCAUAUCACGUUAGUAGGAUCGAUAGGGUUUAUAGGUGUGGGUUGAACAUCCUCUGUGGUGUCUAGAUUCUGUGAGCUUCCCCAAUAGAACAGUAGAUCAUGCUUACCAAGGCUAGAAUGAGACUACAGUUGUAGUCUUCUCUAUACAUCACUCACAUCGAGAAACAUUCUUUGUAGCCUAAAGGUUUGUAGUAAUUGACCGGGUUAGUCAGAUGCACUCUUUCUCCUAGUGGUAAAAAUAUAAAUACGAUACUCCGGAUAACAUCCCAGGUGAAGUGCUCACCGAUAUUUGUGCGCUUGUGGAUCAAUUCCUUAUUGCGUUCAUAAAUAUCAACAAGUAUUUUUGGCGCCUUUGCCAGGGAGAAAGACGGUUUGCUGAGAUAACCUUGAGUCUUACUACUAGUUUGUAUCUAUACUUUUAUCUUUUCUUAUCUUUUUAUAUUCUUUAUUUUCUUUACUCUUACCUUAUGGAAAACCAAGAUUCUAAAUCAAUCUAUCAAUUUGCAACACCUUUGGAAACUGACUUUUUACCAUGGUAGUCAUCACAGCCUAUCCAAACAUCCCAGUAUAAGUUAAGUUCUAUGUUGAUUGCUAUGAUUCAAAACCUAUUUUUUUAGGAAAGGAAGACGAAAAGCCUUACCUUCACAUUAGACAUUUUGAGCAAACAUGUGAUUAUCUUCGCAUUGAAGGCAUUUCUGAUAAAACUUUACGUUGGAAGCUUUUUCCUUUUUCUUUAAGGGGAGAAGCUAGACAAUGGUAUAAUCAGAAGGUAAGUCAACAACGAGGUGAGUGGGGAGUUUUACGAGCCAACUUUUGCCUAGAUUUUUAUUCCCUAGACCGUAUCGGCGACCUUAGACUCGAAGUCCUAUCUUUUAAAUAAAAAGAUAAUGAAACUUUGGGAAAAUCCUGGAAACGUUUUUCUGAUCUUUUAGAAUCUGGUCCAAACCUUAAUCUUGAAGAACCUGUUCUUUUAUUUCAAUUUUUUUGAGGUCUUCAGAAAGAUCAUAAACAAAUGCUACAUACAAUGUCUAGAGGUUCUUUCUUUCGCAUCCCUACUGAUGAUGCUAGAGUGAUCCUAGAUAGAAUCCUAGAAGCUGAGAUGGAUAAUACCCUUCAUGAUAAAACCCACGAAGCCGAAGUAGACACUAUGCCAAAUUCUCCAACUACUUUAGCUAUCCCAAGUUCUAAGCCACAAAAUGAAGAAAUUCCCCCACCUGAUUUCAUGCUGGAUAUAGAAUCUGAUCUUUUUGUCGAUUUUGGGAACAUUUCAAACUAUCAUUCUAUUAACAGACCCCAAAACGGCCAUUUUAGCAUUUGUUUGCCAACUGAACAUCAAUUGAGAGAGCUUAUCGCAGUCAUGAGUAGCGAAUGGUUGGAAGAGUCAGAGCUUUCCUCUGAUGUGAUCCGUUUGGACACACCUCGUAUAACUAUACGCUGUGCUUGUAACACUCCUAGUGUUAGCUUGCAUGUUAACCAUGAGCAUUGCAUCAACAUAAGCAUCAUCAUGCUUAUUCAUAAGCAUACAUCAUGAUCAUAUGUCAUCUUAUGUGUCCCAUGUAUGAUUAAAUUACUUGUGUGGCUUGAUUUGAGUGACUAUAGUAGGUGACCAAUGUAUACAAGUGUACAUUGUCUUCCAAAACACUUUAAUAAUGUUUAGAACAACAUUUUGAACAAAGUCCAUGUUGGAGGUUUUGUCCAAAAAUACCCCUAAGUCAUGGUUAGCCCUAGGUUGACCUAGUUGACCCCCUAAACCUCUUUUUAAAGAUCUUUUAUGAAACCUGUGUUAGAGACCUUGCAUGUCAAUGACCCCUAAAGCAAAGUUGUAGUACAUUUUAUAGGCUACAAAAGUUGUUUUAGGUCCAUCUCAUGAAACUGUGCAGAACAUGCUCAAAAAUUGCACACAAGGUAAAUUUAGGGGCUGUUUGGACAUGGCAGUUUUUGGCUAAGUGUGGGAACUGACGAAACUGAAUGUCAGUUUACGUGUAGGGUACUUUGGCGGCUCGUAGUUUAUAAUUUAAGCUGAACUAGACCAAACUCUUAUAAUCAGAGUUGGAGUACUCAUUCCGCUCUCCAACUUGUAUCACUGAAGUUUUUGCUAGUUCGCACUAGUUUGGGAGUUGGAGGGCUGCGAAGUUUUGAGUUCAGACGUAUUUUUGCAGUACUUUUGCUGGUUUCUGAUCAGAUUUCGAAUUGGUUUGGGUUGGAUCGUGGCCGACCAGCUCUGCUUGCUUGCGCCGCGUGUAUGCCGUGCGUCGAUGUUGGCCCCACGUAGCUACGAAUAAAGCCGAGCGCCGUGCGACUCCGCCGAGGCCUCGCCUACCUGUUCGUCCACAUCGCAAUCCUCGUCUGGGCCAAACGGGACAGCCGCCGCCGCCAUUGCUUGCUGUCUGCUUGCUGCCACUGCUCUCUGUAGCUAGGCAUCCUUCUUUGUUUCCAAUGGCUGCAGCUGGGUCGUGAGCUCUCGACGUUCUUGUUCAAAUACGACGCAAACCAUCGUUCGGUAAGGGCACCAGGGCCGCCACCGCCGCCAUGGAUGUUGCUGAGCUGAAGCUCGUGCAUCACCAUUGCGUCCGGCAUCUCUCGCUACUCUCUAUCCCUCUUGUUUCCAGUCACCUAGGGCUGCUGCCACACACAUGACCGGCCUCCGGCCAAGUUUGCCGUAGCCGUGUGCCAUGGCCGGCCGCCGUGCUGUCGUACGUACGUACAGCCCCCGAGCCGCCUCUUCCUUUGCCGUUCUGUGAAAGUCGAGGCGUUUCCUUGGUAACCUAUCCCGAUAGAUGCGUCUCGAUGUAAGGAGUCUGUUGGUGGUGGUCGCGUCGCCGGAAAGUUCGCCGCCGGCGAGCUAUGGCCGGUCAAAGUAGCUCCCCUGCUUUUGUCCUUAUGAUGUGUGGGUCCAGGUUGAUCUUGGGUCCCAGCUGUCAGCCUUUGGGGGUACUCAGUACUGGGUGCGUGUAGUAGUUCUUAGGGUCUGGUUAUUUUCGUUUUAAUCUUUUCUAUGUUUUUUUAUGAAGCUUGUAAAUUCAAUAUCUCAAGCUACAGGGAUCUGUUUUGAGUGAAACCAAUUUUGUUAGCUUCCUCUUGGUGGGUACUAGCUAUUAAAAAUAUGAAACAUGCCAUGUUUUUGUAGAAAUAAAUAGAUAUAAUUUAAUCUUGAUUAAAUGGGAUGUAAUUAUAUCUUGUGAUCUGUGCAUCGGAUGGCCAAAAUUUAGGAUGUUGUUACUUAUGAUAUGAAUAGGCUCUGAUUAAUUUAUCAUGAUUUUUGGAAGCCUGACUGUGAAGUUAUAAUUAUCUUGUUUAAAUAGGAGUUUCUUGUGGUAUUUUUAAUAAAUAAUUUAUGACUCCUUUAGUGGUGACACUUGCUGAGUGUUGUACUCAUGUGUAAACAGAGCUAGGAAAAAUCUGAAAUCUGUUGUUUGACACUUUUUGAUAGGGUUUCACAUUUAUGCCUUGCAUGCCGUUGCUAGCUUGCUAUUUUUGUAACUCACAAGCAGUAUGUGCAAGUGCCCUGAAAAUUUUACAGUAAACUUGUGUUAGCAUAUGUAACUUGCUGUAAUUUUCUUAGAAUUUUUGGAGCACUGGGAAUGCAUGUUCAUUAAAUCACCUUAAUAAUUAAAUAAAUGAAAAAGGUGAUGAUAGAAAUGAGUUUAGACCUUACCAUGAUGUUUUCUAGUGUUUCUUAGAUAUGUCCUACCUAAUGGUGCAUUUGGAUUAACCCUUUCAUACAUUCUCAAUAUGUGCAAAAUAUUAUUUUUUGCUAUUAUUGCCUUUCCUAGAGCAUUUCUGUACAGCUGAUAGCAAAUGAUUAAGAACUAUUUGAAGAUGAUGUUCGCUGGGAAACUUGUCUACAACAAACUUGUAGCUAACUUACUGAUCUACUUCGUGUCCUAAUUUCAUGACAUUUGGUUGAGUAGUUUGAAAGUUAUGCAUGUUGCAAGUAGCUGCUGCAAAGUGCUUGUUCUCUGGAUUUUCCGGAGCAGCCAGACAACUUUGUAGGUUUUAGCAUAUUUAAGUUGGGAAUCAGUCUGGGAUGUCUGAAAGUGAAUUGUGGAUAAUUUGCUAACCUUUCCAGAAAGUGCUUACUUGCUUAGUUUGAUUAACUGAUGCUUAAGUUAUGGCUGAAACUUGUGACCGGUUGGUUUGUCUACUAAACCAGUGACUGGGUAAGAGUAGCUAGGACUUGUUUAACUUGUCUAUUUAGUCUUUCUACCAGAGAAGAAGUAUGCAUUUACUUGUUAUACCUUGUUUAUGUCCCUUUGGCUCUUCAUCAUGACAUCAUGCAUCAUAUGUGCAUUCCCUAUAUUCAUCUCCUUGUCAUGCAUCCAUAGGUGUACCCAAGGGCGCGACGGUGCUGGAGUUCGAGUUGCCGGAGUCGGAAGGAUAGCAAGGGGAGCUACCUCAAGGAGCUGAGGAGGAGGAGGACUUGCCGGAGUGCUCUGACCACCGUCCCUCCACUUACGUCGAAGGCAAGCCCCGGAGCGUUAUAAGUCUCCUACUAUUUUAUUAUUUGUGUUCAGCUGUCAAUUGACUAUGGUUAUAUAUUGUUGCAUUAAGUGGUAGGCGUUGAUAUGACACCCUUGCUGCAUAAUGACUACCUUGUCCACCUCACACCUCACCAAAGUAGGUCCAGGAUCGAAGUAAUGCUUAGCCAUGCUUAGCUCGGUAGAAGCCGGGUGAUUUCCUGUCACCUGCCAGAGUUAGGUGGAUGGUGAUCACGGUUGGCUAUAUUUGCUAUCGUGGAAAUAACCAUGUGUUAAUAAUGAAUUUGAGACCGGGCGGGAUGAUGAUGAUAGUGCAGCAACAAGGCAUGGAGGUCUUGGGUGUGAAUCUAUCCCCGUCUGUGUCGUUUAAGGACCGAAUCGCUGUAAGUCCCCGUGUCAUGUUGAACGCAUGCCUAUCACUUAGUUGGCCGGAUAAGUCGUUCCGACCGCGAAGCCUACGAGUGCAACUCAGGCCGGAUACCCCGUUCUAUAUGAGUGCGCACCCCGGUUGGUAGUAAGGAUGUGCGGGGAGUCAAUGGCGUAAGCCCAGGUGUCAGGUUAGAGUCCUGCCUUGGCAGAUUGGCGGUCCCUGGGGGUGCGGCGCUGGACGGACCCGCGACUUGGUCCGGAGUUGUGCUAAAGGUGAUCCGAGCUGCCGUCACGAAGUAUGCUUGGGUGAGUGUUAGGAAUACCCCUCCAGCUGGAUAGGAAUCGAUUCGAAUCGCCGUCUCUCCCGGAUAGUGAGAACUUGACUUGGGCAGCGGCAACGUAGAAUUCACUAAGCAAACAUAAUGGUUAUGAUGAGAAUGUUGAUAGCAAAGUGAUAAUCCUGAUAUGGUUAUUAUUGAAAUGCUUAAUUACUCAAGUGUAUGCUUAGAACAUGUGCUAAUCUAGUGGAUAGUUGUUAAGUAAUAAACCUGCUGCUGGAAUAUUAAUAAAUAGGUUACUUACAACAAAGGCUUUUAUGCAAAAGGUGAGUCAAACCAGUCCACCAAGAUCAGCCUUUCAUACUCCUUGGUGUCUCUUUAUUUUUGGUUUAUGACGGGUAAGUCUAGCUAAGUACCUUCUCGUACUCAGGGUUUUGUUUACCCUGUUGCAGAUGAUAUCGUUUACCACGGCUACUGUGCUAACUGUCAUCAUCCGGCUGCGGACGAUGAAUAGAUCAUGGGCUUGAUCACCUUCUCCAUCUUCAGUUGUGCUUUUGUUGGGUUUGGCCCUGGAACUGGCAUGUAUUAUAAACUGAGUGUGUGAUGUUUUAAAACUACUUUGUUUCCGCUACUACUCUGGUUGUAAUAACCUUGCUUAAACUCUGGUGUGAGGUAAAACUAUGUUCUGUGAUGAAUGUAUGUAAUCUGUGAUGGCGAUGCUUGAUCAUCUACGAUCAUGGUUGUAGGUUGGUUGAAUCGAGGUCUUUUGAGAUUUUGUCGGACUACCGGGUUUAUAUGGGUUCAAGUCCAUUGGCUUGACUGCCUCCGUGGUCGCUAAUUCACUUGAAUUCUUAUAAAUUGGACGGUUCUGUUACAGCUGGCAUCAGAGCAAGAUUAAGCAUUUAACCAACAUAGAUGUAUUUAAAAACAAAUGAAUUUGGUUUUCCCAAUCUAAUUUAGCAAAUUGAGCUAUAUAUAGGGCUGUUUUAAAAAUGUUUUGAUAACUUAUACCAUGCCAGUGGUCAUACCCUUUAUGCCCAUAUAAGGACUUCUAGGUGGCUUAAUAUUACUAACAUGGGGGUUUUUCCUUUCGUCGUCCAUAUGGCGUGUAAUUAUAUGGAUACCGCUUACUUAAGUGGUAAUGAAUGGAUCACAUACCUCUACGCCAUGGUAAGCUUGUUUGUUUUCUUUCGUCGUCCAUACGGCGUGAAAUUGUAUGGAUGCCACUUGCUUAAGUGGUAAUGUAUGGAUCUAUAUGCCUCUACGCUACGGUAAGUGUGAGCUGUGAGAGCAUGACCGUCCAACCGUCGGUCUAGGGGAGUGUUAGCUGUGGUUACUGGAAUAUUUACAUGUUUCACACAUGUAUAUAUGAAGGUACUUAAUUGUGGGUAGUAGAUGCAGCCAUGUAUACAUAUUUGAUGUAUAGGUGGGUGUAUCCAAAAUGGGUAGUGUGCUGCGAUAUAUGUUCGGGAAUAUAUAUCGGAGUACCUAGCUUGAUUGUUGAUAAUUGGUUUUACAUUUCUGCACUUAUACUAUUGUGGGGUUGGGCUGAAAUGAAAUCUUCUGCAGGUACAUUAACAACGAAACGUGUAGACCGUGUAGUUGCGUAUAAGAGUGCACGUAUAUAUGCCGCCGACUAUACCGUUAGAACUUUCUUCUAGGAAUGGAAAGGACGUAUGGAACGUGCAUGCAUCAUGAAUCAUUCAUACAUUCUUAUGCACUACUUGGGUAUUAAAUUCUAAAAUUAUAUCUAUUUAUCUCUCCUUAUAAUUAAUCUCCCUUACUCAAAUGUGGUCUUUCUAUAGAUGGCAGCCCCGCACGCAAGUGAAACUUUCCUGGACAUGUUUGGCACGCCUACUUUGUUGUGGAGGGUGCUAAGUUCAGUUGGAUAUGAGGAACCACCUAAGUACACUUGGACCGAGUCUGAGCAUGCAGGAGCACUACCUUGGGUAGAUGUCCAAAUUACAGUUUCCCCUUGUCCAAAUAACCCACAGUUGCUAGGUUGGAUAGUUGAGUGUGAUGGCCAAACUCCUUGGGAGGGUGCCCAAGUAGCAGCCCUAGAGGUUUUGCUAGAAAUAUGCCAAGAUUAUGGUGAUGAGUUACUGAAUGGCCCAGCCGGAUCCAUCCCCAGAGUGAGUGUGACUGACACAUUUGUGUCUCAGAUAGGAAAUGAGCCUUUAGAGAUGAGAGAAACCCUGCUAGGAUAUAGCUCUAGCCCUGCCAUGAGUGCCAUGCUAGCGGUACUUAAGCUGCACUAUGUAUGUCAGGACACCUACAUAAACGCUAUGCUAGCGCUCCAACAAGCACAAGUUGGGCAGCGCAAACUGCGCAAGCGAGUGCGCAAGCAUCGCAAGGCUUUUAUGAAUGCACAAGCUGAAAUCCAAAACUAUCACACCGCUUUGCAAGCCCGCUGCAACCAAGUUGAAAAUGCAGUUAGAGAGCGCAAUGAAGCACAAGCCCGCAUGAUGCAAAUGACUAGAGAGAGAGAUGAGGCUAUGCGCUUGGCUGAAAAUAGAGAAGCUGCUAGAGUUAGAGCCUUGUUCCAUGCUGAAAUGAGAGAGGAAGAGCUGAUUACUAGGAUUGCUGAGCUGCAGUUAGAUGUCCAUCGCUUAAAUAAUAUCAUAAAUCCUAUUCCACAUCCAGCCCCUUUUAAUCAUGAAGAAGUUCCUAGUGAGGAAGAUCAGGAUGAUGGCAUCAUUUCUAAUGAAGAAUCUGAGGAAGAUAUGUAGCCUAGCAAUAAUUCUAUGAUCAUGUAUCAGUUUCUAUCUCUUUAUGUAAUGGACAUGUAAUCUGAAUUUUAGUUGAGACUCUAUGUAUUUGGCCAUGGUGCCCCUCCUGUAAAACUUAAGUCGUGGCAGUGACUCUGUGUAACCCUAUGCACUCAAUUGUGAUGCUCCAUGUUUAUGUUGAGCUUAAAUAAAUUUCUGCAGUGACUUUAAUUUUGUGGAGUGUGGCUGUGAAUGAUCGCGAGAAUAACCAAGUGUUGUGGAUGAUAUUCUCUUGUUGUACAUGGAUUAUUGCGCCUUAAUUUAUGUACUUUAUUAAAUUCCGUAUGGCAGCAAUUGAAGUUCAUGACAAUCAUAUCUGUUAUCCUAAACGAUCACUUGGUAUGCCUUGUGCAGAUGGCUCGCAAUACUCGCUCCGGUCACAACGAGGUGCCACCGCCACCACCUCCUCCCCCGCCUACACCUACUGAGCUAUUGGCAGCUCUUGUUGAGGGCCAGCGAAUGCUCAAUGAGGCAAUGCAAACUAUGGCGCAGCAGAACCGGGGUGGUCGCCAUGCCCGCCAAGGCGGAGAGGCAAAUCAGUACAGCAGUUUCAAGGAUUUCCAAGACACAAAGCCGCCGCUUUUCACGGAGGCUGUCGAACCUCUAGAAGCUGAUCAAUGGCUCAACACUCUCGAGCAGAAGUUCCGCUUGCUGUGGGUGACCGAAGAGCUAAAGGCGGAAUAUGCAGCCCACCAGUUGGAGGUGUCUGGUGGAGUCAUUACAGGACCAGCUUGCCUGCCAAUGCUGUUGUAACCUGGGAUCAGUUCACAACUGCUUUCAGGAAUACUUACAUUCCCCAAGGCUUAAUGACUAUCAAGCACACUGAGUUCAUGAACCUGACGCAAGGCACUAAAAGCUUGACUGAGUAUCUUCAUGCUUUUAACAAUUUGUCUCGCUAUGCUCCUAAGAUGGUUGAUACUGAAGUCAAAAAGCUUGCUAGCUUCAAGAGGGGAUUAGGUCCCAAGUUGUCCAAGAACAUGGCUGGUAACAAGAGUACCACCUUUAAUGAGUUUGUGAGUGAUGCAUUGACUCAAGAGAACUCCAAUGCCGUGUAUGCCGCGUCCAAGAAUCGCAAGAGGGCCUAUGAGGCAGGUGCUUCACAGUCCAAGGCUCCAGUGGCAAGCAAACCGGCCUAUCGCCCACCCAAUGCUGUGACAAGGUACAGGCCGCCGCAGAAAAAGUCUAAUGUGAAGACGGGAGUGCGCAACUCCUUCACAGUUGCUCUCCCAACAGGUGCCACAGGUCAGGGAAGUCCCAAGACUCCCCCGGAUAACCGCCCUUGUUUCAAUUGCAAACAAGUUGGUCACUGGGCGAGAGAUUGCCCUUACCCUAGGAGGACUUCUGCACCUGGGGUUACUACUCGUCCCGGCCGAGUGCACUAUACCACCAUUGAAGAAAUUCCUGAAGGUGAAGUGGUCACGACUGGUAUGUUCCUUGUAAAUCAACACCCUGCAGUUGUCUUGUUUGAUUCUGGAGCUUCACAUUCAUUUAUGAGUCAAGCAUUCGCAUCUAAGCAUGGGCAACAUGUCAUUGACCUUGAUAGUGGAAAAUUUUGCAUUAGUGCUGCUGGUAAUCAAAUUGCUACCAAUCAAGUAGUGAGGGAUGUACAUAUUACCAUAGAAGGGCGUAAUUAUUCAGCAAAUCUUGUGAUUUUACCGGGCUUGGGAAUAGAUGUUAUCCUAGGAAUGAAAUGGAUGAGUGAUCAUGGAGUGCUAAUAGACACUUCAACUAGGGUCAUCAUGUUGAGGGAGCCUGAUAGUAAAGAAGCUUUCUUAGUUCAACUCCCUAGAAGCAACGACAUCCGUCACGCAGCCAAUGCUAUUCGACCACUCACUAUAGCAGAGGUUCCGGUAGUGUGUGAGUUUCCGGAUGUUUUUCCAGAGGAUCUGCCCGGGUUGCCACCGGACAGAACAUUGAGUUUAAAAUUGAUCUAAUUCCGGGUACCGCACCUAUCUCUAGAAGGCCAUAUCGAAUGCCACCCAACGAAUUGGCAGAAUUGAAAAAGCAAUUGCAAGAACUUCUCGAAAAAGGUCUUAUUCGGCCUAGUUCUUCUCCAUGGGGUUGUCCGGCUCUCUUUGUUAAGAAGAAGGACAAGUCUCUACGUAUGUGUGUAGACUAUUGUCCGCUCAAUGCCGUGACGGUCAAAAACAAGUAUCCAUUGCCUCGCAUUGAUAUCCUAUUUGAUCAAUUAGCCAAAGCCAAAGUAUUCUCAAAGAUUGAUCUGAGAUCUGGGUAUCAUCAAAUCAAGAUCUGACCCGAAGACAUUCCUAAAACGGCUUUCUCUACCAGGUAUGGGUUAUAUGAGUACCUAGUCAUGUCCUUUGGUCUGACUAAUGCCCCUGCUCAUUUCAUGUACCUGAUGAAUUCGGUGUUCAUGCCUGAACUGGAUAAGUUUGUGGUGGUGUUCAUCGAUGACAUAUUGGUGUAUUCUGAAAAUGCCCAAGAACAUGAGAAGCAUCUUCGGAUUGUACUCACUAGAUUGCGGGAACAUCAGCUCUAUGCCAAGUUCAGCAAGUGUGAGUUUUGGCUAAAGAAAGUGCCUUUUCUAGGCCAUAUUCUAUCCGAAGAGGGUAUUUCGGUUGACCCAUCGAAAGUGCAAGAGGUUCUAGACUGGAAGGCCCCGACUUCAGUGCAUGAAGUCCGGAGUUUUCUCGGUCUAGCUGGAUAUUAUCGGCGCUUUAUUCCAGACUUUUCCAAAAUAGCUAAGCCUAUGACCAAGCUACUGCAAAAAGAUGUGAAGUUUGUGUGGUCCGAGGAGUGUGAAGUUGCUUUCACCACUCUACACCAUUUGCUGACCACCGCUCCUGUUCUGGCACAGCCUGACAUUGAAAAGCCAUUUGAUGUCUUUUGUGAUGCAUCUGGCACUGGCCUAGGUUGUGUGCUUAUGCAAGAAGGCCGAGUUAUUGCCUAUGCUUCUCGGCAGCUGAGGAAACAUGAAGCCAACUACCCUACUCAUGAUCUAGAGUUAGCAGCAGUUGUACAUGCAUUGAAACUCUGGAGACAUUAUCUAUUGGGUAAUCUUUGUCACAUUUACACUGACCAUAAGAGCCUCAAAUAUAUCUUCACACAACCCGAGCUGAAUAUGAGACAAAGAAGAUGGCUAGAAUUGAUAAAAGACUACAAUUUAGAAGUGCACUAUCAUCCAGGCAAAGCUAAUGUUGUAGCCGAUGCUCUCAGUCGGAAACCACAUGUUAGACCUCUCCUGGAGGAAGGCUUCAAUUUAUUGCAUCCUGUGGUCCUGCACAACAUCAUAGUCAGUUGCUCAUUAGAAAGUCAAAUCAUAGAGCUCCAAAAAUCUGAUCCUGGUAUUUUUCAUAUCAAAAGAAAAAUGCAAGAGCAAGACACCAAGCAUUUCCGGGUGGAUGAGAAAGGUGUAUCGUGGUUUGACGAUCGACUAGUUGUACCCAAAGACCAUGACCUACGCAACAAAAUUUUAGAAGAAGCUCAUUCUUCCAAGUUGUCCAUUCAUCCGGGUAGUAGAAAAAUGUACCAAGACUUGAGACCUCGUUUCUGGUGGACCAAAAUGAAGAAAGAGAUAGCAGCUUAUGUUGCUAGGUGUGAUACUUGCUGCAGGGUAAAGGCAGUUCACCUCAAACCUGCAGGUUUAUUGCAACCUUUGUCGAUUCCGGGUUGGAAGUGGGAAGAAAUCAACAUGGAUUUCAUUGUUGGACUUCCCCUUACUCAAAAAGAACACAAUUCCAUAUGGGUGGUUGUUGACCGCUUGACCAAGUCAGCUCAUUUUAUUCCUGUACACUCUACAUACCGACCAUCCCACUAUGCUGAGUUGUACUUCUCUCAGAUAGUUAAAUUGCACGGAGUGCCUCGCACUAUUAUUUCUGAUAGAGGUCCUCAGUUCACUGCUCGCUUUUGGGAGCAUCUGCAUUCACUCCUUAGUACAAAGUUGGUUCGCAGUUCAGCCUAUCAUCCUCAAACCUCCGGUCAGACUGAGCGUGUGAAUGAAAUUCUAGAGGAUAUGUUGAGGGCAUGUGUUAUAUCUUCCAAGGGUGCAUGGGAGAAAUGGUUACCCUUAGCUGAAUUCUCAUACAACAAUAGUUAUCAAGAGAGUAUCCAAAUGGCUCCUUUCGAAGCUUUGUAUGGCCGCAAAUGUAGAACUCCUCUAAACUGGGUCGAACCUGGUGAAAGGAGGUACUACGGAAUUGACUUUGUCAAGGAAGCCGAAAAGCAAGUUCUCAUUAUCCAGCAACACAUGAGAGCUGCCCAGGCUAGACAGAAAAGCUAUGCUGACCAAAGAAGAAAGCCAAUCGAGUUCGAAGUAGGUGACUUUGUGUACCUAAAGGUAUCGCCCAUGAAGGGAGUAAAUCGCUUUGGUGUUAAAAGAAAGCUUGCUCCUAGGUAUGUGGGUCCCUACCAAAUCAUUGAGAAGAGUGGCAGGGUGGCUUACAAAGUACAACUACCUCCCGAAAUGAGAGCUAUUUUCCCCGUAUUCCACGUAUCUCAACUUAAGAAGUGUCUUCGUGUGCCCGAAGAGAGAGUGGAAACAAGAGAUAUCAAGUUGCAGUCCGAUCUAUCCUACGAAGAAAAGCCUGUACAAGUUCUUGAUGUCAAGGAAAGGGUUACUCGUGGGAGAGUAAUCAAACUUUUUAGGGUUUUGUGGAAUCGCCAAAGUGAGAGAGAUGCCACUUGGGAAAGGAAAGACUAUUUACAAGUAACAUAUCCCUCAUUCUACGAAAAAUGGUACGUCUUUCAAAUCUCGCGACGAGAUUUUUGUAAGGGGGGAGGGCUGUAACACUCCUAGUGUUAGCUUGCAUGUUAACCAUGAGCAUUGCAUCAACAUAAGCAUCAUCAUGCUCAUUCAUAAGCAUACAUCAUGAUCAUAUGUCAUCUUAUGUGUCCCAUGUAUGAUUAAAUUACUUGUGUGGCUUGAUUUGAGUGACUUUAGUAGGUGACCAAUGUAUACAAGUGUACAUUGUCUUCCAAAACACUUUAAUAAUGUUUAGAACAACAUUUUGAACAAAGUCCAUGUUGGAGGUUUUGUCCAAAAAUACCCCUAAGUCAUGGUUAGCCCUAGGUUGACCUAGUUGACCCCCUAAACCUCUUUUUAAAGAUCUUUUAUGAAACCUAUGUUAGAGACCUUGCAUGUCAAUGACCCCUAAAGCAAAGUUGUAGUAAAUUUUAUAGGCUACAAAAGUUGUUUUAGGUCCAUGUCAUGAAACUGUGCAUAACAUGCUCAAAAAUUGCACACAAGGUAAAUUUAGGGGCUGUUUGGACAUGGCAGUUUUUGGCUAAGUGUGGGAACUGACGAAACUGAAUGUCAGUUUACGUGUAGGGUACUUUGGCGGCUCGUAGUUUAUAAUUUAAGCUGAACUAGACCAAACUCUUAUAAUCAGAGUUGGAGUACUCAUUCAGCUCUCCAACUUGUAUCGCUGAAGUUUUUGCUAGUUCGCACUGGUUUGGGAGUUGGAGGGCUGCGAAGUUUUGAGUUCAGACGUAUUUUUGCAGUACUUUUGCUGGUUUCUGAUCAGACUUCGAAUUGGUUUGGGUUGGAUCGUGGCUGACCAGCUCUGUUUGCUUGCGCCGCGUGUAUGCCGUGCGUUGAUGUUGGCCCCACGUAGCUACGAAUAAAGCCGAGCGCCGUGCGACUCCGCCGAGGCAAUCGCCUACCUGUUCUUCCACAUCGCAGUCCUCGUCUGGGCCAAACAGGACAGCCGCCGCCGCCAUUGCUUGCUGUCUGCUCGCUGCCACUUCUCUCUGUAGCUAGGCAUCCUUCUUUGUUUCCUAUGGCUGCAGCAGGGUCGUGAGCUCUCGACGUUCUUGUUCAAAUACGACGCAAACCAUCGUUCGGUAAGGGCACCAGGGCCGCCACCGCUGCCAUGGAUGUUGCUGAGCUGAAGCUCGUGCAUCACCAUUGCGUCCAGUAUCUCUCGCUACUCCCUAUCCCUCUUGUUUCCAGUCACCUAGGGCUGCUGCCGCACGCAUGACCGGCCUCCGGCCAAGUUUGCCGUAGCCGUGUGCCAUGGCCGGCCGCCGUGCUGUCGUACGUACGUACGUACAGCCCCCUAGCCGCCUCUUCCUUUGCCGUUCUGUGAAAGUCGAGGCGUUUCCUUGGUAACCUAUCCGAUAGAUGCGUCUCGAUGUAAGGAGUCUGUUGGUGGUGGUCGCGUCGCCGGAAAGUUCGCCGCUGGCGAGCUAUGGCCGGUCAAAGUAGCUCCCCUAUUUUUGUCCUUAUGAUGUGUGGGUCCAGGUUGACCUUGGGUCCCAGCUGUCAGCCUUUGGGGGUACUCAGUACUGGGUGCGUGUAGUAGUUCUUAGGGUUUGGUUAUUUUCGUUUUAAUCUUUUCUAUGUUUUUUUAUGAAGCUUUUAAAUUCAAUAUCUCAAGCUACAGGGAUCUGUUUUGAGUGAAACCAAUUUUGUUAGCUUCCUCUUAGUGGGUACUAGCUAUUAAAAAUAUGAAACAUGCCAUGUUUUUGUAGAAAUAAAUAGAUAUGAUUUAAUCUUGAUUAAAUGGGAUGUAAUUAUAUCUUGUGAUCUGUGGAUCGUAUGGCCAUCAAAAUUUAGGAUGUUGUUACUUAUGAUAUGAAUAGGCUCUGAUUAAUUUAUCAUGAUUUUUGGAAGCCUGACUGUGAAGUUAUAAUUAUUUCUCGUUUAAAUAGGAGUUUCUUGUGGUAUUUUUAAUAAAUAAUUUAUGACUCCUUUAGUGGUGACACUUGCUGAGUGUUGUACUCAUGUGUAAACAGAGCUAGAAAAAAUCUGAAAUCUGUUGUUUGACACUUUUUGAAAGGGUUUCACAUUUAUGCCUUGCAUGCCUUUGCUAGAUUGCUAUUUUUGUAUCUCACAAGCAGUUUGUGCAAGUACGCUGAAAAUUUUAUAGUAAACUUGUGCUAGCAUAUGUAACUUAUUGUAGUUUUCUUAGAAUUUUUUGAGCACUGGGAAUGCAUGUUCAUUAAAUCACCUUAAUAAUUAAAUAAAUGAAAAAGGUGAUGAUAGAAAUGAGUUUAGACCUUACCAUGAUGUUUUCUAGUGUUUUUUAGAUAUGUCCUACCUACUGGUGUAUUUGGAUUAACCCUUUCAUACAUUCUCAAUAUGUGCAAAAUAUUAUUUUUUGCUAUUAUUGCCUUUCCUAGAUCAUUUCUGUACAGCUGAUAGCAAAUGAUUAAGAACUAUUUGAAGAUGAUGUUUGAUGGGAAACUUGUCUACAACAAACUUGUAGCUAACUUGCUGAUCUACUUCAUGUCCAAAUUUCAUGACAUUUGGUUGAGUAGUUUGAAAGUUAUGCAUGUUGCAAGUAGCUGCUGCAAAGUGCUUGCUCUCUGGAUUUUCCGGAGCAGCCAGCCAACUUUGUAGGUUUUAGCAUAUUUAAGUUGGGAAUCAGUCUGGGAUGUCUAAAAGUGAAUUGUGGAUAAUUUGCUAACCUUUCCAGAAAGUGCUUACGUGCUUAGUUUGAUUAACUGAUGCUUAAGUUAUGGCUGAAACUUGUGACCGGUUGGUUUGUCUACUAAACCAGUGACUGGGUAAGAGUAGCUAGGACUUGUUUAACUUGUCUAUUUAGUCUCUCUACCAGAGAAGAAGUAUGCAUUUACUUGUUAUACCUUGUUUAUGUACCUUUGGCUCUUCAUCAUGACAUCAUGCAUCAUAUGUGCAUUCCCUAUAUUCAUCUCCUUGUCAUGCAUCUAUAGGUGUACCCAAGGGCGGGACGGUGCUGGAGUUCGAGUUGCCGGAGUCGGAAGGACAGCAAGGGGAGCUACCUCAAGGAGCUGAGGAGGAGGAGGACUUGCCGGAGUGCCCUGACCACCGUCCCUCCACUUACGUCGAAGGCAAGCCCCGGAGCAUUAUAAGUCUCCUACUAUUUUAUUAUUUGUGUUCAGCUAUCAAUUGACUAUGGUUAUAUAUUGUUGCAUUAAGUGGUAGGCAUUGAUAUGACACCCUUGCUGCAUAAUGACUACCUUGUCCACCUCACACCUCACCAAAGUAGGUCCAGGAUCGAAGUAAUGCUUAGCCAUGCUUAGCUCGGUAGAAGCCAGAUGAUUUCCUGUCACCUAUGAGAGUUAGGUGGAUGAUGAUCACGGUUGGCUAUAUUUGCUAUCGUGGAAAUAACCAUGUGUUAAUAAUGAAUUUGAGACCGGGCGGGAUGACGAUAGUGCAGCAACAAGGCAUGGAGGUCUUGGGUGUGAAUCUAUCCCCGUCUGUGUCGUUUAAGGACCGAAUCGCUGUACGUCCCCGUGUCAUGUUGAACGCAUGCCUAUCACUUAGUUGGCCGGAUAAGUCGUUCCGACCGCGAAGCCUACGAGUGCAACUCAGGCCGGAUACCCCGUUCUGUAUGAGUGCGCACCCCGGUUGGUAGUAAGGAUGUGCGGGGAGUCAAUGGCGUAAGCCCAGGUGUCAGGUUAGAGUCCUGCCCUGACAGAUUGGCGGUCCCUGGGGGUGCGGCGCUGGACUGACCCGCGACUUGGUCCGGAGUUGUGCUAAAGGUGAUCCGAGCUGCCGUCAUGAAGUAUGCUUGGGUGAGUGUUAGGAAUACCCCUCCAGCUGGAUAGGAAUCGAUUCGAAUCGCCGUCUCUCCCGGAUAGUGAGAACUUGACUUGGGCAGCGGCAACGUAGAAUUCACUAAGCAAACAUAAUGGUUAUGAUGAGAAUGUUGAUAGCAAAGUGAUAAUCCUGAUAUGGUUAUUAUUGAAAUGCUUAAUUACUCAAGUGUAUGCUUAGAACAGGUGCUAAUCUAGUGGAUAGUUGUUAAGUAAUAAACCUGCUGCUGGAAUAUUAAUAAAUAGGUUACUUACAACAAAGGCUUUUAUGCAAAAGGUGAGUCAAACCAGUCCACCAAGAUCAGCCUUGCAUACUCCUUGGUGUCUCUUUAUUUUUGGUUUAUGACGGGUAAGUCUAGCUGAGUACCUUCUCGUACUUAGGGUUUUGUUUACCCUGUUGCAGAUGAUGUCGUUUACCACGGCUACUGUGCUAACUGUCAUCAUCCGGCUGCGGACGAUGAAUAGAUCAUGGGCGUGAUCACCUUCUCUAUCUUCAGUUGUGCUUUUGUUGGGUUUGGCCCUGGAACUGGCAUGUAUUAUAAACUGAGUGUGUGAUGUUUUAAAACUACUUUGUUUCCGCUACUACUCUGGUUGUAAUAACCUUGCUUAAACUCUGGUGUGAUGUAAAACUAUGUUCUGUGAUGAAUGUAUGUAAUCUGUGAUGGCGAUGCUUGAUCAUGUACGAUCUUGGUUGUAGGUUGGUUGAAUCGAGGUCUUUUGAGAUUUCGUCGGACUACCGGGUUUAUAUGGGUUCAAGUCUAUUGGCUUGACUGCCUCCGUGGUCGCUAAUUCACUUGAAUUCUUAUAAAUUGGACGGUUCUGUUACAGUGCUUAUGAUUCUGAUCACUUUGAUGCUCUCUAUAAUCCUGUUGUGGGGAUCAACAUCAUGUCUGAAUCUUUUGCACUUAAAUUAUUUAAAAAUUUUGUCUUAACCCCCACAACAAAGGUCAUAAAAGAAUCUUCUGGACGAUUAGUCCCCAGUCUUGGAAUUAUUAAUGUCCUACCCUUAUUGGUAGAAGGCUCCAUGGUUCAUUUGAACUUCUAUAUCUUUGAUACAUGGGACUUCGACCUGUUGAUAGGACAACCUUUUAGAAGACUCCUUUAUGAAGGUCAUGCUGGAAAGCUACACAUUUCUUUUGGAAAACCUUUUAAAUUUCCCAUAACAAUUUCACACUCCUUAAAUAAUAAGGCCGAGUCAUAUCUUUUGCCUGAUCCUAUGGAGGAGGUAAAGGCUGCAUCUCUAGAGCUUUUAAUUGAACCAGACUUAGAAGAAAAAGCUCCUUUCUUCACAGAAGAAGAGGCCGAACCUUCUGAACCUGAACCCUUAGAUGAGUUUGCAGAAACGCCUAGACCUCCCAUAGAGCUUAAAACUUUACCACCCAGUCUUAUCUAUGCUUUCCUAAAUAGUAAUCCAGAGUUUCCUGUGAUCAUUAGUGAUAAACUCACUCAGGAGCACACUCUACGAUUGAUGACCGUUCUUGAGAAACAUCACUCAGUUUUUGGCUAAUCACUCCAAGAUCUUACAGGAAUCAGUCCUAUGAUUUGUACCCAUCGUAUUCCGACAGAUCCUUCUAUUUCACCUUCUCGAGAGCCUCAACGUAGACUUAACAACACGAUGAGAGAGGUAGUUAAAAAGGAAGUUAUAAAGUUGUUGCAUGCAGGGAAUAUAUAUCCUGUGCCGCAUAGUGAGUGGGUGAUCCCAGUUCAAGUUAUGCCUAAAAAGGGAGGCAUGACUAUUUUUAUGAAUGAAAAGAACGAGCUAAUUCCGCAACGCACCGUCACAGGGUGGCAGAUAUGCAUAGACUAUAGAAAACUGAACAAAGCCACGAAAAAGGAUCAUUUUCCUUUACCUUUCAUAGAUAAGUGCUAGAGCGAUUAGCGAACAAUUCGUUCUUCUGUUUCUUAGAUGGAUAUUCAGGGUAUCACCAGGUCCUGAUCCAUCCCGAUGAUCAAAGCAAAACCACUUUUACAUGCCCAUACGGAACUUAUGCUUACCGUAGAAUGUCUUUUGGGUUAUGUAAUGCACCAGCUUCUUUUCAAAGAUGCAUGAUGUCUAUAUUUUCUGAUAUGAUCGAAGAAAUUAUGGAAGUUUUCAUGGAUGAUUUUUCUGUAUAUGGAAAAACUUUUGAUAGUUGUCUUGAAAACUUAGACAAGGUUUUGCAAAGAUGUGAAGAAAAGCACUUAGUCCUUAAUUGGGAAAAUGUCAUUUUAUGGUUAGGGAAGGAAUACUGCUGGGAUACCUAGUGUCUGAAAGAGGUAUUGAGGUAGACAAAGCUAAAAUUGAAGGAAUUGAACAACUACCUCCACCUGUGAAUAUAAAAGGAAUAUGAAGCUUUCUUGGCCAUGCUGGUUUUUAUCGCAGAUUCAUCAAAGAUUUUUCAUUUAAUGCUAGACCACUUACUCUUUUGCUAGCCAAGGAUGCUCCUUUCGAAUUUGAUGAUGCAUGCCUAACAUCUUUUAAUUUAUUAAAGAAUGCACUCAUCUCUGCACCAAUCAUUCAACCCCCUGAUUGGUCGUUCCCUUUUGAAAUUAUGUGCGAUGCUAGUGAUUAUGCUGUGGGGGCAGUUUUGGGACAAACUAAAAAUAAGAAGCAUCAUGCAAUUACUUAUGCCAGUAAAACUUUGAUAGGAGCUCAACUUAAUUAUGCAACCACUGAAAAAGAGCUUCUGGCUGUUGUCUUUGCCAUUGAUAAAUUUAGAUCUUGUUUAGUUGGAGCUAAAAUAAUUGUUUACACUGAUCAUGCUGCACUAAAAUAUCUACUCACUAAAAAAGAUACUAAAUCUCGCCUGAUUAGAUGGAUCUUAUUACUUCAAGAAUUUGACUUAGAAAUAAAAGAUAAAAAGGGAGUAGAAUUCUGUUGCUGAUCACUUGUCUAGAAUGUACUUUAAGAAUCCACAGGAAACCCCCAUCAAUGAUUCACUCUAGGACGACAUGCUCUAUGGGAUUAACAGGUCUGACCCCUGGUAUGCAGAUAUUGUUAAUUUUAUGGUUUGAGGGUAUGUACCACCAGGAGCGAACAAGAAGAAGCUUAUUCAAGAAAGUCGUUCACAUAUAUGGUAUGAGCCAUACCUCUUCCGAGUAUGCUCUGAUGGCUUACUCAGGAGAUGUGUGACCAUCGAGGAAGGAUGGAAGAUCAUCGACAGAUGUCAUUCAUCACCGUAUGGAGGUCAUUAUGGAGCAUUCCGUACACAUUCAAAGAUCUGGCAGUGUGGAUUCUACUGGCCUACAAUGUAUGAAGACACGAAGCAAUAUAUCAGAAGAUGUGGGCCAUGUCAAAGGCACGGAAACAUAAACACAAGGGAUGCCAUGCCACUCACCAACAACCUACAGAUUGAGCUCUUUGAUGUCUGCGGAAUAGAAUACAUGGGUCCAUUUCCCCCAUCAAAGAAGUGUGAGUUCAUCUUGGUGGCAGUUGACUACGUCUCCAAGUGGGUAGAGGCAUUACCUUGCGAGCACGCCGACAACAUCAGUUCAAAGAGGAUGUUUGAAGAAGUUAUAUUUCCAAGAUUUGGAGUUCCCAGAGUAGUGAUAAGUGAUGGAGGAGCACACUUCAUUGACAAACGCUUUAGGCAAUAUCUAUCAAGACAUGGAAUGCGUCACAACAUCGCUACCCCCUACCAUCCUCAGACAAAUGGCCAAUCAGAGACUUCCAACAAGCAAAUCAAGAAUAUUCUUUAGAAAACAGUCAAUGAGAUGGGAACGGCAUGGAAAGACAAGUUACCCGAUGCACUCUGGGCAUACCGGACAGCAUACAAGCCCCCAAUUGGAAUGUCCCCAUACCAAUUGGUGUACUAGAAGACUUGCCACCUACCUGUUGAACUAGAAUUCAAAGCACACUGGGCCAUAAGUAGAUGGAAUAUGGACCUAGAUGUUGCUGGAGAUCAUAGAAGAAUGCAACUAUCAAAAUUGGAAGAAUGCCGAGAGAAAGCAUAUCACAACUCGAAGAUCUAUAAAGAAAGAGUCAAAAGGUGGCAUGACAAGAGGAUCACGAAGAAGGAGUUCGCACACGGAGAUAAGGUAUUACUUUUUAAUUCUAGGGUGAAGCUUUUCGGGCAUGGAAAACUCCGGAGUAAAUGGGAAGGACCAUUCAAGGUAAUCAAUUCAUCAUCCCACGGAGCUAUCACACUUCAAAAUGACGAAGUUACGUUAUUUAAGGUAAAUGGUCAACGUCUUAAAUUAUUUUUAGAGCCCCAUAAAGAAUUAGAAGAAAUAGACGUGAUCCAUUUCUACCUUCCCAUGGAGAAUUAGAGCCCAACCUUUUAAAUCUAACGUUUUUGGGCCACGUAUAUAUUUUUCGAAUAAAGUCUGCAUCUAGAAGCACGCUUGAGGAAGUGGGCCCACAGAGGGGCCAGGCACAGGGCGGGCGCCCUGAUGAAGAGGGCGGGCACCCAGCCCCUGUCCCCCCUCAGUCCUGAUUUCCUCUAUUGCGAUAAACACAUUUUUGGUAAACUAAAUAAUCAUAGAGAUGGAAAGUUUUGCACGCACGGCGGCGGGAGUAGCCCGAGCAAACCCUAGAGGCACUCUUUGACCCCUAUAUAAACAGACCCCUGAUGUUAGUUUUCAAACACCAAUCUAUUCAAGCCUUCUCUCCUUCUUAUAUUAGAGCUUGCUUAGUUCCUCACUACUCCAAUGGCUGAAGAAUACCACGAUGAGUGGGAAGUCGUCCCCUACGACCUCAACAAGAAGCCCAAGGAGGACCCCGACGCCCACGCUCUCGCCCCGGCCAACACAGAGCGACAGCUCGAAGCCUUGCCAUUACGCCAGCGCAGCUCCUCCCAAUCCUACCAUGCUCAACCAGUUCUCACCGCACUACCGUAGCCCCUACUUCUCAAGGGACCGUCAUCCAAGAAGGAGGCCACCGUCAUGGUGCCAGCUGGCACAAGGAUCCUGCCACCCAGACCCAAUGAGAGGGUCGUUGGAGUCAAGACCAACCGGAGCGGCGAGAUCAGCAGUAUCCACUACACUACAGAGGAGGAGAGGCCUUACUUUGAGAGGAUUAGAGCAGCCAAAGUCCGUUUCAUCCCUCCAAAUGCAGCCCGAAGCACGCUCUCAAUGCUCUUGAGACACCUCCUAAACGUCGCAAGACUAUAGUAGAUAUUGAUGAGGACGUUCGUAGGCUAGACAGGGUCAUCAUAGAGCUCCAGUCCUCGGUUAACUCUAUCACUAGGCAGCUCUCUAACCAGAACACCGUUAUACUAGGUCUUAGGCAUGAUCUUGCUAGUGCCAAUAAGAAGAUCAGGGAGUUAGAGCGCCGCUAAGCUACCUAAAUUAGGUCUUGAGGCAAUGCACCUUAGUUAUUUAUCUUUAAAUUCGGUUUAGAUCUAUUAUUAGCUUCAGUUCAUUACUAGUCAUUUGUAAUAAAUGCCUCAAGAUUAUUAUUAUUAUUAUUAUUAUUAUUAUUAUUAUUAUUAUUAUUAUUAUUAUUAUUAUUAUUAUUAUUAUUAUUAUUAUUAUUAUUAUUAUUAUUAUUAUUAUUAUUAUUAUUAUGUCUUGUGUGUCUCUACUUUAUUUUUUGUGCAAGAAAGAAGAAAACAAGUAUGGGGGAGAUCCCUCGACAUGCCAAACACACUUCGACUACAUCACUCCACGAUUCAGGUACAUACUCUGCGCACUUUACACAUACACAUAUAUCUUGGUUCAUGCAGAAUAUUGUCUCCGACAUGAUAAAUUAAAAGAUUAAAAUGCCUCUAAUCAUGAUUAAUCUCACUCUAUUAUAUUUCUUGAAAACCUGCAAUUAUUUAAAAAUCAUUUUAAAAUCCUGUGUUACUUAAGUCACUGUGGAAUGUAAGAUGGUAGAGUAUGAGUACCUUAUUCUUGAUAUCAUUGUUCCUUGGAGAAUUUAUUUCAAACCUUUAGAAAUUAUAGCUACCAUCCUCAGUGUUUUAUAUGCCUGAUAAACCUGAAAAUAUUAAUAUGAUAAUUAUAAAAGCUAUAUGCUCUGUGUUGAGUUUGUUUAAAAUGAGUUACACCCUUGUUGAGAGAUUUAUCAUGCUCCUAAGAUCAAGACAUUUAUUCAGAAAGAUUCACUCUUCCGAAGUAUUAUUGCAUUAGAGGCAUGGGCUAUGCAAAAAAUAUAUUUCGAGGAAAUAAAAAAGAGCAAGUGCUCGACAACCUCGCAGAAAAAAUGGUCAAG